UCUUUGAUAAGGGCUAUAAUGUACAUGGUGGCUCAGUGCUUGGGGGCCAUAUGUGGAGUUGGGUUGGUGAAGGCCUUCCAAAAGGCUUACUACCACAGGUAUGGUGGUGGGGCCAAUGAGUUGAGUGAAGGGUACAGCACAGGUGUUGGAUUGGGUGCAGAGAUCAUUGGAACCUUCGUUUUGGUGUACACUGUCUUCUCUACUACAGACCCCAAGAGGAAUGCUAGAGAUUCUUAUGUCCCGGUAUGUACUCUGCUCUGCUUAACCAAGCAUGGAUUCACUCUGAGUUCUUUCAGGAAUAGAAGCUUAAAGUUCCUUCAAAUUAUUUUAGNCUGGUUAUUGAUAAAGAAAGAAGUUGAGUGGAAGUAACUUAACUUAGCUGUUAGCAUAUAUCUCAACUUCAAGCGUCCAGCUUUGCUCUCUAAAUGAAUUAGGUGGAGUAGCAUUAAACUAGUUAAAGAAGCUUUGAUAAACUUUUAGUGUUUUNAUGGAUAAUUAGUUGUAUGUGGAGGCUUUAUUCAUUAUAUACUAUUCCACUUUUCUUGCUGGACCUUUCUCUCUUUCUACUACUCUGUUUCAUUGUGUGCAUAUUUUCUGUCGGCAAAAUUAAAUGUUACCAUAUGCUUGAGUAACACGGGCCUAUUAGGCCAUUACCACAUAUAAUUCUGUGAUGGUGUUCGAUUUUCAUAGCCUUAUUACACCAACCUUAUAUCUACUUACUUUCUUCUUUUAAAAAAAGUGGAUUCUUUUGGAGUUUCAUGCAUGUUUUUGUCUUGGAAGCAUANUUUUUCUUGGUUAAUGUGGAACUUUAAGGCCUCAAACUAAUGUAUGCAUAUCAGUGUCAUUCAUGCUAAACGUCACUUUGCCAAAGCUGNCAAAUCUUGUGAGACUCUCCCUCAUCAUUCCCAUUUGUCAUUAUCAGCUUUAGUUCUCCAAACACUUUCUCAGAUUCUCCAAAUUAAUAAAGUAAAUAAACCAUGGUCCUCACAUCUGCUCCAAUUUCAUGCAAUAUCAGGAAUCCUGAAUAAACUACAAACUGACCACUGUUUUAAACCUCCAUAACCAAUCUGGAUUUGCGUCUUUGGAAUAACAUUUUGUCUACAGUUUUUGCUUUAAUUGAACCACAUAAUAAGUUUCUUAUGGUGCUUUUGUUCUGCAUUUGAAGGUUUUGGCGCCACUUCCAAUUGGUUUUGCUGUGUUCAUGGUCCACUUGGCAACCAUACCUGUAACUGGCACUGGUAUUAACCCUGCUAGAAGUUUUGGAGCUGCUGUCAUAUACAACAAAGAGAAGGCCUGGGAUGACCAUGUCAGUAACUGUUUUGUUACAUAUUCAAGAACUUGCUAGUUUUAUCCGAUGAUCAAAUAUUAAAAUUUGUAACUUGUCUUGUGAAGUAACAAAGGAUAAAAAAUUGGUGCCACUAUUGUCUGAUAUAAUCUUGUUCCUGAUGUUUGUUCAGUGGAUCUUCUGGGUUGGACCAUUCAUUGGAGCAACCAUUGCAGUCUUCUACCACCAACUUCAAUAUAGUCAAGUUGGGUUUAAGGAGGUAGCUAAUUGAAAUUAGAGAUGUGUUUUCAGAUUUUUCUCAGUGCCUAGAAGGUAUUUGGAAUGAGUUAAACUUGUAUAGAGGGUAGCAAAGAUUAGAUUAGAGGUGUAUUAGGUUCCGGUGCGAUGUUGAGCGCCCCUUGAGCACCCUCCAGCACCCCUGAGUGCCUCCUAGGCACCUCCUGAGCGCCUUUUUUGCAUGAGCUUUGGGCUUGAGCACCCCUAGGCAUCCUUUUUGCGAGAACUCCCCCUUUUGGGGGAUUGAGCACCCUUUAGCCAGUUUUGGGUUUUUUAGUUUUGGGAUAUCUUGUGUUUUCUGAUGUAUUGUUUUGGCUUCUUUGAUGUAUGUUUAAUUCUAUAUUGAAAUGAAAAUCAUGGAAAUCCAACGAGGAACCUUUUAUUAGAUGGUUCAAGUAUUGUUAGUAUGAGUGCAGGUAGCUCGGUCUUGGGAGUUAUCCUAACACUUUAAUAGUCAUUCAUUCUCAAGUAGAGAAGAUUGACACAUGUGGUGAGAGUGACAUCAGGUCUUAGUCUAGGUGCUUCUAGUAUGGUCUAAGACGCGAUAUAGACUAACCUUAUAAUUGUAGUAGGGUGAAAUCCAUUUGUAAUGACUUUGUAAAGCAGUAGAGACCAUAACAAGUGCACAACCUGUCAUAUUUUGACAUUCAUACUAAAUCUAGAUAGUCUAGUCUAGGUCUUUACAUGUAUGUUUGGUUUGAUUCAGGUUAUUUAUGAUUUAUGUAUGCAAUGCUUUGAGUGUAUUAUGAAUUGUUUUUAUCUAGCUUAUCCUUUUUCCUUAUAUUUCAUUGGUACGUAUGAGCAGAGGGUGAGGAGGUUUCAGUUGAAGUGGAGGAUGAGGCAUCUUUCGAAGGAGGAUUUUCAUUUUUUUUAUGGUUUUUAUUAGUUGGUUUGUAUAUAUAAAGUUUCUUUUAUGGUUAUUUAUAUGAUUAUAAUUAACUUUAUAUUUUUUGUUUGUUCUGAUGACUAAAUACAAACCAACGUCACGUAGGAACCUAGGCGAGUUCCAUUAAGUGUUAACAGCAUUAAUUUGUAGCCGCAGUUUUAUGAUAUUUUAUUUGAUUUAUUACGAAAUUGAUUAGAUGCAUAAUAAGCAAUGAAUUUUUAUUUUAUUUUUCUUUCUUUUAUGUUUUCGGAGAUGAAACAUAAUACUUGGUAAAUGGGUAAAUGAGUAAUUAAGAGAAAGAAUAUGAACAAGUUUUAGUAUUAAAGUAGAUAAUUGUGAAGAAAAAGAUAUAAAUAAAUAUCUUAAUUUUUUUAUUGUAUAUUUUUCAUUCUUUUAUCAUUUAUUAUAUUUAAUUUUCCUUUUCUUUGGUUGUAAACACAUAAUUAGUGCAUGAAGUCUAUAGGCAAUGGAUAAGUUAUUUUCUUCAACUUAAAGAUUAGGUUUUAAUUAGUUGUAGUUUAAGUUUUGUUUAGACUUAAAAGAUUAAGUUAUACUUUGUUUAGACUACAAAUUUUAAGUUACACAUUUUAUUGUUUAUUUUGAUUUUGAAAAUUCAUAUUAUGUAUUUGAAUUGCACAAUUUGAAAUAUAUAUUUUAUUAUGAAAAUUUUGUUGUAUUUCAUAUUCUGGUUUUAUGAUUAAACAAAUAAAAUUUAAAAAAGUAACAAAUUUAAUUGGCUCAUAUUUAUUAAGUCUGUUGAAUAAUAAAAAAUUUAAUAUUUAAGUUUGUAGAUCAACAAAUGGCUUAAAAUCUCAAAAUAACAUGUCUAUUUUGUAAUAAUGAUAUUAAUUAUAAUAAAUAUUUUUAAGAUAACUAUUAUACGAUAAUUAUAUAUUUUACCGUCAUAAUAUAUAUAUAUAUAUAUAUAUAUAUAUAUAUAUAUAUAUAUUGUAAUAUUAACACUUUUUUAUUAAUAAAUUAUAUUUUUUAAAUAAUUUUAUAUGACAAUAAACAUAAAUAUAAUAAAUAUAAGGUAUAAAUGAUGUAAGGUCCUUAAAUAUAUAGUGGUAGAGUGUUUUAAAUAAUUAUACUUCAUUAUUUUAUUUUAAAAAUAGAAAAAAUAUAAAUAGAAUUUUAUAAUAAGGAUUUUCAUCAUCUAAAAGGAUUUAUCUCUACUCUCUUCUUUAAGUUUUUUUUAUGCUCCUUCUAGAGAUUCUCACUUCUUCCUCGUUAAAAAGCGCCUGAUGGAUUUUUGAGGUGAGAUCUUCCUUACUUUCUAAUUGAUUUCAGCUAAAGAAUAAGUUGAUUUCUAGUCCUUUUUUUUUCUUUAUUUUAACGUCUUUACAUGUAAUAGGGUUUCUUUAUUCUUAGAAUCUUGAGUCUCCUCUAAGGUUUUCUGUUGAUCAUUGAUAUUGAGGAUAUGCUUUGAUCAAGGUUUUAUGAACUGUAGGAGUAAAUAGAGAUCUUGAAGCAACAAUAGGAGAAAUUUUAACGUCUUUAGAACUGUCUAAAUGUCAUGCAGGUAAAGGAAGCUAGUUCAAUUGAUUUUGUUUAUUAGACAAGUUAUAAUCAAUGUUCAUAUGGUGAGAUAUUGAUUGAAUUGUGAAAUUAUAUUGAAUUAAGAAAUCUAGUAUGUUGAGUUGCUUGUAUAUGUUGUGUCUUGAUGUGAAAACUGAUGAAUGAUGGUAUGAAAUUGUUGUGUUGAUGUGAAAUUGGUUUUCGAUGAGUUUAAGAAAGUAAUUUGAUUGCAUUCUCAGUUGAUAAACUGUUAUAUAGGAUGUUGAUAUUGAGUAAGUUAGAAUAAACGUGAGCUUUUUGUGCAUAAAAUGGGGGGUUUUUGAUAGGUCAAAUUCUAGAGUUAUGGCUUUGGGGGCAUUUUAAAGCUUUGGGGAUUGUUUUACAUAUCUCCAAAAUCCAUCAACUAACAUAUCCAAAAUACAUCAAUUGACAUAUCCAAAAUACAUCAACAUUACGUCAUAUUUAAAAGAGUGUCUUCAAAAUGAAAGAGCAAAUAUUUGUUACAAAAUUUAAAUUAGUUCUGUACAUAGAUCAUUCAUCAGGACAUUGGCUGGAGGAAGCAUCCUGAGUAAUAGGAACAUGUGUUGUUGAAGGUUGGCUGGGUUGUGGUUGUUUAGGAAAUUGAGCAGUGGGAAACAUAGUAGAUUCUUGAGUUAUUGGAACAUCUGUUGAUGGAGGUUGGGUGACUUCUGUUUGUUCAGUACAUUGGGCAGUAGGAAGUUGUACUGUUGGAGGUCUUUGUGGACAACCUUUUUUGUUGUGUCCAAUUUCUUUGCAGAUGGCACAUUUUUUUUUGUGUCCACCCUUUCUUAAUUCACUGUCAUUCUUCUUCAACUUCCAAUCCUCCAGUCUUCGUUUUUUCUUGGGUCUUCCUGGCAUUGUCCUCUUCUUUGGUGGUAGUACAUCUGAGUAGGGUGUAACAUCCCAUACAUGUUGACCAUUGAUAGGGUAAAUAAUUGCGUUGUAGGUCUCUUCAUAAGUAGAUUUCCUAAAUCAGUGGCCAAUGUAGUCUUCUGCAUUUAUAUUCAAAAAUUUCAUUGCACUUAUGGCAUGAGUACAAGGAAUGCCAAUGAUUGUCCAUUUUCUACAUGUGCAGAGUCCAUCUUGACAACAUUCACGACAAAUUUCUCUCCAAACUGUGAAAUAUGUUUGACUUCAAACAAUUUUUCUCUUGACCCACCUAUAAUGAAUAGAACUUGACAACACAGUUAGCUGGAUGAAUAUAAAUGCGUAACCUUGAAUGGAAAUAGAUUUUAUAAAAGUUACCUUGGUAACCAAUAUCUUGUUAACCAUGACUCCUUCUGAAAUCUGUUCAAAACCUUAGGGCAGAUUGAACCUUGAUAUGAUGUCAUCUUUGUCUUGUUGGUAGCCCAUUUCUUCAUAAUGUAAACCCUAAUGUCUUCUAACAUGCUAAUAAUUGGCUUAGACCUAUUAUGAACUAGCACACUAUUAAAGCCCUCACACAUGUUGUUCACAAGAGUGUCACAUGGUGAUCUAGAGGUGAAUCUAGAUCUUGAAAAAAACCUGGGAUAAGCAAAUAUAACUUGUCAAGUAUUUAUAAGACUGUGAGUAAAUGAGAUAUUUAUAGGACUGAAUACAUACCUAGGUGGAAUGGCAAGCAAGUAUUUAAAUGCCUCUAAAUUUAUGUCUUUAAUAUAUCUUAUUUCAACCUCCCAUUGUUGUGGAUAUGUGGUUGUUGCUGCCCUCCACAUGAGACGUCUAAGGUUUUUUUCAGGAUACUUUUUUCUGAAGUUUGAGUAUAAAUGCCUAACACAAAAUCUUUGUUCUACCCCAGGUAGAAGAUCUUGAAUAGUUGGCAAAAAACCUUGUCAUAUUGAAGAUAUUGAGUUAACAUUUGUGUAAUCAACAUAUUCAUUUUCAUGUACAAGAUAUUGAAGAAUGAUUGACCUUUUUUUGGUCUGAAAUAAAUGUGCAUGAUGCACACACAACUUCCCCACCAAGGUCCUGAAUUAGAUGCUCCAAGAACCAAGUCCACCGUAUUUGUUUUCUACCUCAACAACAUAUGCUAUGGGCAACAUUUGUUCGUUUCCAUCUCUUCCUACUAUUGUUAGUAACUCCCCUCCAUAAUUGCCUUUCAAAAAGUAUUCAUCCAACCCAAUGAUGGGUCUACAAGAAAUGAAACUAUCCUUGCAUGCCUUCAAGCAUGCAUAAAAUCUUUGGAAUAUUACCUCACCAUUGCUACUAUCAACUUUUAUUUGUACUGUUGUUCUUGGAUUUGUGACUUUCUCCCUAAUGUCCAUAACCUUCAUAGUAGGGUUUUCUCUCACAGCUUUCUCCAUCCUUUCACUCAACCAUUUUGAAGUCAUCAACUUCACAUAUAAAUCUCUACUGCAGCUGUGAGCAUCAAACAUUGUUCUUAGCUGCCAUGCAUUGACAUCAGCCCUAAAGGAGCAAUACGCAUACCAUUUACAAUUUCCUUUUCCACCCAAACACUUCACAAAAAUCCUUUUCUGGUCAUUCUUAAUAAAUUUUAAACUUCUCCCACUACUUAGUGUAUAAGUCCUUAUGGCAUCUGUGAAUUCCUUUUUCUCAGCGAAAUAGGUUCCUAAUUCCCAUUUAUAAGCUUCCAAAUUUUUGGGCAUACUAAAUGUGGGAUUCAGCCAUGGAAUAAUGAAGAUUCCUUCCUUCACAGAUAGCCUUGCACUCACAAAAAAGAUUCUUCCUGCAGCAACAUUGACAAUACACUGAGACAUAGCUAAGCUUUUUUUGACCGAAGAAUUAUUAAUAUGUGUCGUGCUUGGAAUUUGGUUGUUGUAUUGGUUUAGCGAGAAGAAGGAGAACAUCUUGUGUGCAUGCGUUGAGUGUGGAAGAGAAGAAGGAAGAGAAAGCUCGUUGGAAUAGGUUUGAAGAAGAGAAAGCUCAACUGAGGUGAGGAUCAUAGGAGUGUUUUCUUGUUUGUAUGGUUUGUUUCUAUAAUAUUUGCAGGCUUAGUGGUAGAUGAAGAAGCUGAGGUUGGUGGAAGAUGAAGAAAGGAGGUGAUUGAUGAAGAGAAGAUGCAGAAGAAGAAGAACAAAAUGAUCUGUAUUUGAUUACACCACAAGCGUAUUCGGUUACGCUGUUAUGAAGAAGACGGACAUGUAGCUGUAUUCGGUUACAGCACUAGCGUAUCCGGUUACGCUGUUAUGAAGAACAAGAACAUGCAGUUGUAUUCGGUUACAAUGGAAGUGUAUCCGGUAACAUGAUGAAGAAGAUGAAUGCGGGGCUGCGUAUUCGGUUAUGUCAAGCCGUAUCCGAUAUUCAAGGCGGUGGUUGUAUUUGGUUACCAUGCUUGUGGACGUUGGCAUCCUUGCAAUCUUCAUGGUUACGGCGCCAUAUUGACGAUGGUGGAGUUGCAGCGAUGGACGACGGUGGACGAUUCAACGUUGGAAGGCGUCAGCUGGAAGCCUGAAGGUGGAGGACGCAGCGACCGUGAGAUCUCCGUGGUGGUGGACGAUGCACCGACGACGAAGGUGUUCGUGACGAUGGAGGAUGUUGUCCGUGGUGGUGGACAAUGCAGUGCGCAUCACAUGGAGGUUGAUGGUGGUGAAUGCAUAGUAGUGAUAGUAGUGGACGAAGGAUGACGAUGGCCACACAAGAGGAUGCCUGACAAAGUGCAGAUCUCGCAUUAUGGGUUGAAAUAUGAUAUGUCUAACCGGUUGGUUGUGAUGGUUUGUGAUGCAGGUAUUGUGACGGUGAUGAAGGACAAGGUUCAACGUUCAUUGGCGAGCUUAUUCGGCGUCAAAGUUCAUCAAGCACAUUUUAUAAAAGAACCAAAAUUUCCAUGUGUACAAGAUAAGAAGCUCCAAUGAUAAUUAAUAAUUAAAUUCAAAUACCCUACUUACCUGCUGAAUUUAUUUUAUGUAUAUUUAAUGAAUGCGAGUGUUCAGAUUUACGAUGGAUGUCAAUGGAGGAAAUAUGGGCAAAAAAUAUCCAAGGAUAAUCCAUGUCCUCGUGCCUACUAUCGUUGCACCAUGGCACUAGGAUGUCCGGUUCGUAAACAGGUAAAUAUAUAGUUCUCAUUUUUGCUUUUGAACAUGAUGUUGUUACAUUAUGUUGAGCCAACUACGUUGUACAGGUGCAAAGAUGCACAGAGGAUAAGAGUAUGUUAAUAACAACUUACGAAGGUAAUCAUAACCACCCUUUUCCACCACCUUCAGCCACGGAAACCUCCUCUUUUCCAUUGCAUGCAACUACUUUUCCUCGGCUACCAGGCCACCCUAUCAUCUUCCCUCACAAAUUGCAACAUUCACUGGGGCAAAAACAACCUUCCUUUAUGACAGAUAUCAUGACUGCAGCUGUUGCUUCCAAUCCAAAUUUCAUUGUAGCAUUAGCAGCAACUAUCUCGUCAAUUAUUGGAGCUCCUAGAAGCAAUGAUGGAAAUAAUAUCUACAAUAACAAUGGUGGAAAUGUUCAGACAUCUAUGUUGCCUGGAUCCACUUAAUUUUUUUCACCUUCAUGGAUGCACCACUUAUCGGAUCACCAGCACCUUCUAUACAUGAAUUGUAGCUUACAUAUCUAUAUGACAAUAUAUACAUGUUAUUACCUCUAUGUAUAAAAUGUAAAUAUAGGAAUAUAGUUGCUUUUUUGGGAGAAAAAUUGUAUGGAAGGAAAAAGUCAACAUUCAGCACUCAUUAAUUUUUCUCUCAUUAUGCUUAUAGUAAGAAAUUAGGAAUGUGUUGGACAAUAUAAGAACAGUGGCCACAGAAUGGUGUUGCUAUGUGGAAGAUUUGGUUACAUUGUUGAGGCAUGAAUAUGUAAAUCAAGGAAAUGGGACUAAUGAGGGGUUCAAGAGGGUAUUUAAAAUUUAAGUGAAAUUAAGAACCUUUUUGUUUAUGUGAUGUUUCUGAUAAAUUUAUGUGAGAUUUUUAAUUUCAAAUACUUUUACUAUGUGCCUUAUCAUAUAUCCCUAAUAUCCGAUUAAAUAGAUAUGAUACAUAGUUAAUAAAUCUCACUUCCAUAACAAAUAAAUUCAUACUACUUCAAACUAAAUUAUAUCACAAACAAAUACUACAUUUAAAAAAAAAUCAUUUAACUAAAGUAUAAUUUAAUUAAAUUUUUAAAAUCAUUUUUAAUAAUUAUUCUAAAUUUUUAACUCUUAAUAAACAUUUUUACAAUUAAAUAUAACAUUAACAAAUAUCAUUUUAUAUUAAUUUAAUACCUAGGGACAUAUUGGUAAUCUUCAAUUUAUACCAAUUAAAUAAAUUUUUUAAAACUCUCACAUCAAUCAAAUCCUACACUAAUUCUCACAAACUUCAUCCACAAAUCCACUUUCAAUUACCUUCAAAUCCACUCAAGUAAACACAGAAUAAAAUCACCCUCAAAUCCACUCAAUCACUCUCCUCCAAAUCAUCUCCCCCAAUCAUCCCUAAAUGAACACACCCUAAAAGUAUAUAUAUAUAUAUAUAUAUAUAUAUAUAUAUAUAUAUAUAUAUAUAUAUAUAUAUAUAUAUAUAUAUACUCAAAUAAAAAAUUUCUAACAUUCCAAAUUAAAUAUUUGUUACAUUUCAUUUUAAUAGUAUAAAACUAUUAAAAUAAAACAUUUUAUAUUCAAUAAUCCAAAGAAGAUAAUUCAAAGUAUAUUAUAUUGGUAUAGUCAUCCAAAAAGAUGGAACUAUAACAAUACAACCUUUAUACAUCCCAAAAACUAUUAUACCUUGGUUCUCAAAAUAAAAUUAUACAUCUAGAAAAUCUAACAUGUCCUAACACCACAACCACUAGCUCAUUAUCCUCAGAAGGAUCCUCUAAACCUAUAUCUUCAUCUUCUCACACCAACAAGGUGAUCAUUAAAAAAAUAAAAUAAGAGACAAACACAAGGAAACGAUUAACAUAAGAGAGUAAGCUAAUUUGAAAAAAGAACAUCAUAUAGAAAUAUAUAUCAAGAAUCAUGUUGUAUCGUAAUGGAGUGCAUCAAUCAUUAUAAAUCAUAUAAUUAAUUACUAUUCUAGACUCAAUCAUUCAAAUAAAAGGCGUUAAUAAUGUCAAACUGUUUGGAAAUUUUGCACUUGUGAUCCAUGGCCUUUUUAUCAGACAUAACGGGUUAAUAUGUUUCUCUCAUGUGGACCCCAAAUUGGUCUCAAAUAAUGACCUCCUCCUACUUUCAAUAUCCAAUCUAUCAUCCUCUACAUGAGUUUAAAUGAUUAGUAAAAUGUCAAAAUAACUUCUAUUAUGAACCCCUACUUCAAUGCAUACCCAGAAUAACUUCUAUUAUGAAUCCCUACUUCAAUGCAUACCCUGAGAAGCAUACAACAAAAGGAUUUCCUUCAUGGAAUCCCCUUAAUCAUCAUCAAUUCAUACCUUAUCAUCAUUUAGAAGCUCAUAUCAUCAACAUAUAUUCAUCUAUAUAAUUAUAUACAUCACUCAAUGAAGGCCCUUUGUAUCUCUUGCAUUUUUCUUUGCAUUUCUCUAAUCAACUCCAUAGGAUCAUGUUGAUUGCUCAUGUUUCUUGUGGUCACGAUGGGUGCCAAAAUGUUUUGGUUUAUGAGGUCGAGGUUAAAUUUGCUUCUUUAAAGAGUUUCAAAUCUCCAAGCUUAGGUCAAGGUUCUAUCUCCAAUCUGCUCUUGAUACCAUUCAUACUAACUAGUGUGCUACCUGCAGAAAACAUUAUGAUGUUAAAGUUAAUGUUUGUCUGAUAGUGCUAAAAAUAAAUGUGCAGUUAAUAACUACCUGAAUACCAAACUUGUAUUUAUAGAUUUUGGGGAUGGACUUUUGAUUAAUGUUGAUCUAAUUACGGUCUAAACAAUGAUGAUCUAGCUUAGAGUUAAUGUAAUUAUUCUUACAAACUGACUCAUAUGAGAUUGUAGGUUAGUUGACCGCUCGGUUCAUGACUGACCAUAUUAUCAUACUAUACACUUUCAAAUGUCAUAUAUGCAAACAAAAUUUAAAUCAAACUUUAUUUUCUCCUGUAAUUUCUUUUUUUAUGCUAUCUACUCAUUUCUUUAUGCAUAAUGAAUAUGCACUUUUUCAUCUUUAAAAAUAAACAAACUUUUAAGAGUGCCCUAUAUACUUUUUAUAUAAUUAAUAUUUAAUUAGUGGAAUUACUUCAAAAAAUUAAAGAGAAAUAAAAAGUAAUCUAAAUAUUUGAGGUGAACUAUUAUAACCUUUUCAUAUUAUUUUUAUUCAUUAAAGAGUGUCUUGUUUUAGUGUAUAUAUAUAAGUAAGGCCGAGAAAGACACCUUUCUGACUUCACCUUGUCUUGUUUUCUUCCUUUAAGCUCACUUGGUUUGCCUUCGUCCAAUCCAAUAUGAGCGUUGGGUACUUGUUAAAGACACUCUGACGCUCAAGUUAGAUUUUAAACAACAAAUUGAAUUCACAAUUAAGUGUCCAAACUCAGUUAAUCUAACCUUUACCUCUUUAACUUACCUCACUAUUCAUAGAUUUUAUCAUGGACCUUUAAUUAAUAUUAGCCUAGUACCACUUAGACCCGUAUUGGCCCCAUUGUGGCCCAACACCACCUGGGCCCGUUUUAUCUGCUUAAUCUAUAAAUUAGAACAAAUACACUUGAUGGAAGCCUAAAUAGGCAAGUCAUCCAAAGGAGUACUAACUCAUGCUAAGACUAGGAAAGGGAAGUUAAAGAAGAACUUUUAAAGACUCUUUCUUAAUUUUCUUUCUCCAUGUCUUAGAAGGAUUCCCUUAUAUGGUUGUUUUUGUAGGAUGUAAUAAAGGCAAGAAUCACGACCAACUAAUUAGAUUUAGAAGCUUUCUUCAAAGAGCCAACACCAAGGCUGCUCAAGCGCCAUCAGCCAGGGGACGCCCAAGCUCAGAUGCACCAUUUGCAGCAAAUGCCUUCCCUAUUCACGUAUGCCUAGGCGCCUUCAGGAGAGGGGCGCUCAAGCGCCAGGGAAGUUGUCUGAAGCACGUUUUGGUUGCAUUGUCCAUGUGACACAACAUACUUUCCGUGACCAGUUAGCUUGGCCUCCAAGCUCGUUUUUUUAUUUUGAAUUUUGAAGGGAAUGUAGCUCAGAUUUGAGACUCUUCCUCACCUAUAAAUAGGAGAGCCAACCAUUGUAAUUCUCACUUUUGAGCUUAGUAAAAUGCUAUUGAACUUGUUUUCCAGCCCUAUUGCUCUUGAUUCAUUCUUCAAUUUCUACUUCCCACCUUUCUUCCUUAGGAGGAAGGUCCUUUGAACUGUGAGGCCUUACACACACUCCUUCCACUAAAACACAUCAAAACAUCCUUCGAACUGCUUUUGGCUUGAUUCUCGCUGAAGUUGGCUUCCAUUAACAUUGAACUGUCUUAACAUUAUUCCAACACCGUUCGGUUAACAUGACGCACUCAUCAUCGAAGUUGUUUUAUUAGUCGGCAUAUCAACAGAUCAAAAACUGUACAAACAGGUCUAAUAUUCUAAAAAGGUAAAACAAAAAAAAAUCUAAAAUAACUUGUUUAUAUCUUCAACUAUGACCCAUGAACUCACCUAUCAUAUUAAAUCGUUAUGGAAUCUUGUUUUUCAACAAAUACAUAUUAUUAUAAGACGAAUUAUUUUUCAGAAUAUACUUUAUAGCAUCUAUACACUAAAAUAAUUAUGUGAUCAUUGCAGAGUUUAAACAUGAUUUAAUAUAGUUUAAUGAUAUUUAGUUCACUUCAUGCAUCUAUUUUCAUUAAAAAAAAAUAUUAAAUAGUAAUUAAAUUUAAAAAUAAAAAACAAUUAAUUACUAUAUUAAUUAACUUAGAUAUUAUUUUAUAAAUUUAAAAUUAUCAAUAUUUAAAAUAGUUUUCAUUAUUAAUAAUAAAUUAUAAUUAAUUUAUAAAUUAGAGUUUAAAUUGAUUUUCAACAUUAACGGUUAAAGUUUUAAUUCUUUAGUAUUAUUAUUCUAAAUUAACCUUUACCAUUAAAUUGGAACUAAUUUAGAAGUGUAGAAACAAUUAUGUGAUUAAUAUAACGUUUAAACAUGAUUUAAUUUAGUUGCAUGACUUUUUGUUCACUUCUGCAAACCAUUUUGAAGUUUAAUUUAAUUCUAAAAAAUAUAUUUCUAAUUUUAUAUAUCCAAUUUAAUUUCACUAACCCUAUUUUUAAGCUUAAAUUGAAAGAGACAAAAAUCAACAAAAUGGAAAUUUAAUACAACAAUAAUAAUUCAUUAGAAUUUGAUAAAUUAUAAUUAAAAUUCUUUCUAGGACUAGCUAGAAUUUAAUGUCCGAUAAUACAUUGAAAAGAAGUUAAGAAAAAAGGCAGAUGAAAGAGAAUAUAAAUGUGUUAGGUUUUGGUCUGAUGGUCAACGUUAACGGCGGAACCGCCCAGGAAUUCGGAACCACAAGUUUUUGGCCACCUAGCAUCCACUCACCCACGUUUUUUAAUAUACAUUAUGAUCACUUAAACUAUUAACACCGUUACCAUAAAAAUACAUCAUAUCUCGUAUACUUUUUAUUUUCUACAAGUUCUUGUUAAGUGAAUUUGGAAGGAAAUAAUUUAGAAGAUAUAAGAAGAUUUUUCAUAAAUUUUUUUGUUAUUUAUUUGAACAGAUUUGGAAAUAAAUAAGAGUGAAUUUGGAAGUAAAUUUUUUAAUCUGUCACAUAAAUUAAAUUCUACACUAAUUCUCAUAAACUUUACUUCCAUAUCCUCUUGUUUACUUUCAAAUUCACUCAAAUAAACAAUAAAAGAAAAUUACCUUUAAAUCUUCUCAAAUCCAUUCAAGUGAACAAGGCUGUAUUCAUUUUAUUGAAGAACUGAGACCGUAAGAUUGAUCCUAGCGGCAAACUCUCUUAUUUAGAUCUAUCAGUUUCUUAGAUAGAGUAAGUUUAAGUUUUUUUCCUCUUUUUCGUCUAUUUUGUCUUCUUUUUUAUGUGAGUUUGUUAUAAUCCAUGUGACAUUUGAGUCUUUUAUAAAACUAUUUAUUUAUUAGUGAUUCUAACCGUGUAUCAUGAUUGUGUUUUUGUUGUUCGUAAGAAAAUAUAGAGCUUCUUGUGCGUUUGGUACUAUUUUAGGUCUUUUAGAACUGUUUCGUCAUCUAUAAGGUAAGGGAAGUUAACUACCACAUUUUAAUUUAUUAUUAUGUUCAUAAUUUGUGUUAUAUAUAUUUGAAAUGACGUGAAAUUGAUAGUUUGAUGUGGUGAAAUACUAUUAUGACUGUUUGAUGAAUGUUACUGGUUUUGGAUGAACUAUGAGAGUUAGAAAUUGUUGUUUAGUUAACUAUAAUUGUUACUGAAAUGUUAUUGUGUUAUGGUACAAUUAUGUGGGUGUUUAGGUUUGGAAUCUUAUAGUUUAGUAUGAGGAAAUUAUGAUGAAAUUGCUUAUUAUAUUUCACUUGUUUUGAUGGUCUGAUUUGAUGAGAUUAAGGGCAUAAAUGGCGGUUUUGUUGUUAGAUAUUUAAAUGGGUAAAAGGUUAGGGUAUUCGUUUAAUAAUAAAUUGGAGAACUGAUUUGGAAAAUGGUCUAUAAUUAGUGGUUUAACAUGUGAAAUUUUGUGGGAAUGGUUUAUUGACUAAGUUUGAGGUUUGGGUUUGUAAUUGUGUCAAUUAGGACUUGGUUAGUCAUUGAUUUUGUUAAAAUCUAGUUUUCAAUAUGUGAAAUUUGUUGUUUUGUUUGGGUAGUUGAUUUAAUUUGAUGGGUUGAAUUCCUUGUUAAUUGAGCAAACUAGUAUUCAAUAUGAGUUAUAAACAUGUUUUCAAAUCAAUUAUCGUGCCAAGAAUACCAGUUUGGUCAUUUAGAUAGGUCUUGAGUCCAUCUAGAUCAAGUUUAUAAGUUGUUCUCUUCUGGUAUAGCGUUGAGCGCCUUGUGUGGUGUUAAGCGUUGCCAAACUCGAGAGUCACUAGGCUCUAGGAUGUUGAGUGUCAUUUUUUCGCUGAACGCCACAAAGUUAGUGAGCUCUCUGACUUUUAGGCGUUGAAUGGUGGUUGAAGGCGCUGAGCACCACUUCUCUCUACAGGUUUGAAUUUUUUUUUCUUAGUGUUUCGCUAAACGAGUGAUAUUGCUUGCUGAAUGACCCUUGUUUUGAUAAUAUUGUGAUUGUGUUUCUCUAAUCUUUGAUUCUUAUUUGUUUAAAAAUACAUUGUAUAGAAUUUUACCCUUAUUUAUAUUGGACAUUUUGUUUAGGUUUAAUAAAUGAUACAUGUGGAUAUGAUACAAGUGAUACGUGAUGGGAUUGUGAAUUGUAUAAGAUAUUAUAAGGAUUUUAAGGAGAAAUCCUUAAGAUGGUUAUGUAUAGUGUAUGUAUUGAUAUAAGAUGCUUUGUAUUAAGGGUUAUUCUAAUACUCUCAGUAACUUUCAAUCUCAAGUAGAGAAUGAUGGUUAUGUUGUGAAAAAUAACAAGAUGUCCUUAGUCUGAUGGUCAUGUAUUAGUCAUAGAUGUUUGGCGGAUUGAUCUCAGUAUGUGUGGGCAAGUUGCUUCACCACCACCAGGUACAGAACCCUUAGAGUUCGAUAUCUAUACAUGUGUCUGGAUGGUCAGGUCUAAAAGGAAGGAUUGUAUGUAUUGAUUUAUCUGUGUUACAAGACUAUACUUCUAUGAACUUAAUAUAUGAUUGUUAUUGGUUCAUUAACUUACCCUUUCUUUUUUGUUUGUCUGUUUGUGUGUUUCUUCUUAUUUGUAAUGAUCACCUUAAUGACAUGAGCAGAUGAAAAUGUUAAUAUGAUCCAGUGCAGGACAAGAAUAAUGUUGAAAUUUAGAGUUAGAUUGAUAUAUUUCCCGUCUUAUUAAUUUUUGUAAAACAUUAGUAGGUUUUUGAUGGGUGUAAUAGUACUUUUUGAAAUAUAAAACAUCUGUAUGAAUACGUUCAAUUUUUGUGAUAAUUAUGUAAGAAAUAACUUUAAUGUGCUUUUGUAUAUAUUUUUUUCGGAGAAAUUUAUUCUCUCAUUCCUUUCCUUUGUAAGUGAUGGUUUUUUUAGUAAAUUUAUACUAUUAAAAUGAAAUGUUGUACCAAUAUUAACAUAUCAAUAGUAUAAGUUUUUUUUUUUUAAAUGAAAGAUUUGUUAUUUAAAUUCACGAGACAUUAUUAAAUUAUUUUUUAAAUAUUUAAACAAUUUAAAUAAUUUUUUAAUGUUAUUGCUUAAUUUUAAAUAAUUUAAAUAAGUUCUCAAAUUUUAAUAAUAAUAAGUAAUAACAUGAUUUUUUUUUUGUCAAAAUUAUAAAAUGUAAAGUAUUCCUCAUUUUCUUCUAGGAAACUAGUUAUUGUUUAAGAAAUACUAAUAUGUAUUAUUGCACCUUAAAUCUAAAUAUAUGAUAUACUUAAUUUUUAUGAGCAUAUUUUAAAUGUUAAAGACUUAUUAAGUAUGUUAUAUUUUGUUUUUAAUAUUAUUAAGUUGCGAUAUUAUAUUUUUAUAAUUUUAUUUNNNNNNNNNNNNNNNNNNNNNNNNNNNNNNNNNNNNNNNNNNNNNNNNNNNNNNNNNNNNNNNNNNNNNNNNNNNNNNNNNNNNNNNNNNNNNNNNNNNNNNNNNNNNNNNNNNNNNNNNNNNNNNNNNNNNNNNNNNNNNNNNNNNNNNNNNNNNNNNNNNNNNNNNNNNNNNNNNNNNNNNNNNNNNNNNNNNNNNNNNNNNNNNNNNNNNNNNNNNNNNNNNNNNNNNNNNNNNNNNNNNNNNNNNNNNNNNNNNNNNNNNNNNNNNNNNNNNNNNNNNNNNNNNNNNNNNNNNNNNNNNNNNNNNNNNNNNNNNNNNNNNNNNNNNNNNNNNNNNNNNNNNNNNNNCUUUGACAUUUAUCUAAUUAUUAUUUAAUAGUCUUAUAUUUGUAUAAUUAUAAUUUUCUUAAUAUUUGACAUCGUCAACCAAAAUAAAUCACAUUUUGAAAAUAUAAUAAAAAUAAAGAUGGAGAUAAAUUUUUACUGUAAAAAUAGAAAUGAAUAAUCAAACCUCAUGCAUUUUCAAUGGGAAUAGUCUAAGAGUUUAUUGUAUUAACAACAAAAAUAUUUAGCUACAAAUAAUUACAACACUGAUUAUAAUUAAAACUUUAGUUUAUUUUUUAGAAAGUUAAAACUUAAUUAAAUGAACCAAUUUAAUUUUUACGAUUACCUUUUCCAUAUUUUACGGGAUUUUUUUUUUGAGGACACAUCCAAAACAUGCAAAAGAAAAAAAAAAUGAUAUUUAAUUUAAUUCAAAAUUAUUUAAACCUGGGUCAUUCAAUGAGCCAUGUGAAUAGUAUUAUUUACGAGUAUUAAGACUCACUUUAAUGAAGAGUUUACUUAAACCUUAAAAAAAUGUCACCUUAAAUUUUCAAACUCUCUUGAACUCAUAAAUAAAUAAAUAAAUAAAAUAAAAUAGUUACCUUAAGCACCAACGUCUUCAAACUUUUCAAAUAAAUUUGUUUUUAAUUUUUUUUAUAAUUUUUUUAUAAUCACUUAAAUAAUAACUUAUAAUUCAUUCAUUUCAAAUAUACAUAUCAAUAGGGUCACCUAUUAUCAAAAAGUUAUUUAAAAAAGAAAUUAUUGGCAUACCUUUCAAUUACUCUCAAACUUCACUUUGCUUUUCUCAAACACUUUGCUUCCAACUUCCACUCAACUUUAAAAAGUGUAUUAUUCUUACAACAUAUUUUGUUAAUAGUUGUAACCACUCAUUUUUCUUUUCUAUUUUCAUACAAGAUAAAAAAUAUAUAUAUAUUUUUUAGUUAUUACAAUCAGAACAAAGAUAAUAAUUUAGAUUUUCUUGUUUAUAGAUACAAAUAUGGACAAAAUCAAUGAGAAAGAAACAUACAGAUGAAUGUAGGGAGGUGGUGGUGGUGGUGCAGCAGAAGUGGGGUCAAGGUCGGUGGAGCGAAACCGAAAACAAAAAAGUUUAUUGCUAUUAUUAUUUCGCUUUGUUUUUCUGUGUAAAAUUGCACUAAUCAAAUGCUCUAAUGUCACUCCAUCACCUCAAUAUAUACCCCUUCUCAUCUCACACUAAUCAAACACAACCUUGUUUCUUGUUCUGUGAGCCUCUCUUUCAGUUUUCUCUUUUCUUGAUCAUUGUCAAAAGGGUGGUUGCAGAUUGCAAUGGCUAAGCAUGAUGUUGAGGGUGGUUCCUUCUCUGCAAAGGACUACCAUGACCCUCCUCCAGCACCCUUGAUUGAUGGUGAGGAACUCACACAGUGGUCCUUCUACAGGGCCUUGAUUGCUGAGUUCAUUGCCACACUUCUCUUCCUUUACAUCACAGUGCUCACUGUUAUUGGUUACAAGAGCCAGAGUGAUGUAAACGCUGGGGGUGAUCUCUGUGGUGGGGUUGGCAUUCUNNNNNNNNNNNNNNNNNNNNNNNNNNNNNNNNNNNNNNNNNNNNNNNNNNNNNNNNNNNNNNNNNNNNNNNNNNNNNNNNNNNNNNNNNNNNNNNNNNNNNNNNNNNNNNNNNNNNNNNNNNNNNNNNNNNNNNNNNNNNNNNNNNNNNNNNNNNNNNNNNNNNNNNNNNNNNNNNNNNNNNNNNNNNNNNNNNNNNNNNNNNNNNNNNNNNNNNNNNNNNNNNNNNNNNNNNNNNNNNNNNNNNNNNNNNNNNNNNNNNNNNNNNNNNNNNNNNNNNNNNNNNNNNNNNNNNNNNNNNNNNNNNNNNNNNNNNNNNNNNNNNNNNNNNNNNNNNNNNNNNNNNNNNNNNNNNNNNNNNNNNNNNNNNNNNNNNNNNNNNNNNNNNNNNNNNNNNNNNNNNNNNNNNNNNNNNNNNNNNNNNNNNNNNNNNNNNNNNNNNNNNNNNNNNNNNNNNNNNNNNNNNNNNNNNNNNNNNNNNNNNNNNNNNNNNNNNNNNNNNNNNNNNNNNNNNNNNNNNNNNNNNNNNNNNNNNNNNNNNNNNNNNNNNNNNNNNNNNNNNNNNNNNNNNNNNNNNNNNNNNNNNNNNNNNNNNNNNNNNNNNNNNNNNNNNNNNNNNNNNNNNNNNNNNNNNNNNNNNNNNNNNNNNNNNNNNNNNNNNNNNNNNNNNNNNNNNNNNNNNNNNNNNNNNNNNNNNNNNNNNNNNNNNNNNNNNNNNNNNNNNNNNNNNNNNNNNNNNNNNNNNNNNNNNNNNNNNNNNNNNNNNNNNNNNNNNNNNNNNNNNNNNNNNNNNNNNNNNNNNNNNNNNNNNNNNNNNNNNNNNNNNNNNNNNNNNNNNNNNNNNNNNNNNNNNNNNNNNNNNNNNNNNNNNNNNNNNNNNNNNNNNNNNNNNNNNNNNNNNNNNNNNNNNNNNNNNNNNNNNNNNNNNNNNNNNNNNNNNNNNNNNNNNNNNNNNNNNNNNNNNNNNNNNNNNNNNNNNNNNNNNNNNNNNNNNNNNNNNNNNNNNNNNNNNNNNNNNNNNNNNNNNNNNNNNNNNNNNNNNNNNNNNNNNNNNNNNNNNNNNNNNNNNNNNNNNNNNNNNNNNNNNNNNNNNNNNNNNNNNNNNNNNNNNNNNNNNNNNNNNNNNNNNNNNNNNNNNNNNNNNNNNNNNNNNNNNNNNNNNNNNNNNNNNNNNNNNNNNNNNNNNNNNNNNNNNNNNNNNNNNNNNNNNNNNNNNNNNNNNNNNNNNNNNNNNNNNNNNNNNNNNNNNNNNNNNNNNNNNNNNNNNNNNNNNNNNNNNNNNNNNNNNNNNNNNNNNNNNNNNNNNNNNNNNNNNNNNNNNNNNNNNNNNNNNNNNNNNNNNNNNNNNNNNNNNNNNNNNNNNNNNNNNNNNNNNNNNNNNNNNNNNNNNNNNNNNNNNNNNNNNNNNNNNNNNNNNNNNNNNNNNNNNNNNNNNNNNNNNNNNNNNNNNNNNNNNNNNNNNNNNNNNNNNNNNNNNNNNNNNNNNNNNNNNNNNNNNNNNNNNNNNNNNNNNNNNNNNNNNNNNNNNNNNNNNNNNNNNNNNNNNNNNNNNNNNNNNNNNNNNNNNNNNNNNNNNNNNNNNNNNNNNNNNNNNNNNNNNNNNNNNNNNNNNNNNNNNNNNNNNNNNNNNNNNNNNNNNNNNNNNNNNNNNNNNNNNNNNNNNNNNNNNNNNNNNNNNNNNNNNNNNNNNNNNNNNNNNNNNNNNNNNNNNNNNNNNNNNNNNNNNNNNNNNNNNNNNNNNNNNNNNNNNNNNNNNNNNNNNNNNNNNNNNNNNNNNNNNNNNNNNNNNNNNNNNNNNNNNNNNNNNNNNNNNNNNNNNNNNNNNNNNNNNNNNNNNNNNNNNNNNNNNNNNNNNNNNNNNNNNNNNNNNNNNNNNNNNNNNNNNNNNNNNNNNNNNNNNNNNNNNNNNNNNNNNNNNNNNNNNNNNNNNNNCAAAGGAUAAAAAAUUGGUGCCACUAUUGUCUGAUAUAAUCUUGUUCCUGAUGUUUGUUCAGUGGAUCUUCUGGGUUGGACCAUUCAUUGGAGCAGCCAUUGCAGCCUUCUACCACCAAUUCAUCUUGAGAGCAGGUGCUGCUAAGGCUCUUGGAUCAUUCAGGAGCAACCCCACCAUUUGAGUUAUUACCAAAUAUCCUCUCAUGGGUUCAAAAGGAACAUAAUUGGAAGCAAAAUGAGUUGAUAUUGUAGCAAUGAUAAUAUUGUCAAGUGCUUGUACUUUUAUUUUGAUCCUACGUAGAUUGAAGGUUCUUUCAAGACAAGAGCCUUUGGUAAAUAGUAAGUACCCUUAGUAUUUCUAGAACUUUCCUUUGCCCUCUCAUGUAAUGAAUAAGUCAAGUCAACAUGGAGUAGGUGAAAUAGCAUGAUAACCCAUGUUUUAAGGGAGAGGUUAUGCUGAUUCAAUGUCACCUGCACCUUUUUGCUUGUAACUAUGUAUUUUUCCAAAAGCAAAUGUCACUAUAUGUAUGAUGGAAAUUUAUGAAUCAAAAGACAGUUUCUGAUGCACUGUAGAAAAAUUAUUAAUGGGACAAAUGUCAUCAAAUCUUUCUUGUUCCUGCACAUGAUUUGUAUUAUAUCCACUGUUUUAACACUUUCUCCUCCUCUGCCUAAAGUUAUAGCGAAAAUAUCAAAAAUUGUCAAAACAAAAUUACAAAAUAAAAUAAAAGAUAACUUGAAGACAAUAUAAUUAUUUUACAGUAAAAAAUAGUUAAAAUUUUUAAUUCAGAUUUAGUUAUUGAUAUGUUUAAAAUUUUGAAAAAAGUAAAAGGCAAUCCUUUUAAAGUAUGUAUGAUUUCUUUAUAAUUAUAACUAUAUUACAUUAUAUACUAUUUUUAUUGUAUUACGAACAAUGAUGAUGUAAUUUUUUUUAAAUAUAUUACUUUAAUUCUACAAAAUGGUGAACAUCAUGAAAAUACUUCUUCUGUAUAAUUAAGAUAUUGUUUUUGUAACACUCUAUUUCAAUAAUAUAAAAUUAUUAAAAUAAAACGUUAAAAAGAAUAAUUAGGUAAAAUAAACUUUCUACAACGAAGAGAUCUAUUUUUGUAAAUCCACCUAUCUACAUCUCUGCUUCACCUUUGCUAGAGUAAUUGAAAAGGCGACUCCCUAAGCUUACAUCAUAGGUAAUCAUCGCAAAAGAGAAAUAACAUACAAAGACAGACAAUAGAAAAACAAGGAUAAGCUAGAUAUACAAGCAAUACAUCAUAAGUUUAAAGCAUUUCAUAUAGGAAUCAUAUAUAAUUUAAUCCAUCCCAAACAUCUUAAUAUGCAAUAACCUAUACCAACUGUCCAAACUUAGAAUGAAUGCCGAGCUAUGGCGGGUUGUGCACUUGUUGUGGUCUCUACUGCUUUCCAAAACCGCCAAUGAAUUUCACCCUACCACCUGCACAAGGUUAGUUUGAUACUGCGUCAUAAGCCUCCAAGAAGCACCUAGACUAAGACCUCCUACUACCUUUACCACAUGAUUCAAUCUUCUCUACUUGAGAAUGAAAGAUCAUUAGAGUGUUAGGAUAGCCCCCAAUACUGAGCUCCCUGCAUUCAUUUUAAAGAUACUUGAAACCACACCACGAAGUUACACCUUGGAACUAACUUUCAUAACUUUCAAACCAUUGAUAUUGCUUCACCUUUACAUUCAAUCCGUUUGAAACCAUAUGCAUAUUCUUGUUUCCAAUUCAUAUUAUAAUCAAUUCAUGUUUCACAAUAAGUAUUAUAAACCAAUCAUUCAAUCAAUCACAUACAUUGAACUCACUUUAAGAAAAUAUAUAAGAACUUUGUUGAAAAUAUGAUAUUUUCACUUAGCCACCAAUUCUGCUCGCUUAAAUAAAAGUGUCUGCAAGCCCACUCACUCAACCACCAAGAGUCAUUGUGUGAAAAUAGAAAUAGUGGGUUCUACUCGCUUAGCGACCACACUCAUUCAGCGAGAAGUGUUAUGCUCGCUCAGCUAGAACACACUCGCUCAACGAGACUGCAUAAUUUUGCAGUACAAAAACUAUAGAAUUUGCACCCUUCAACCACUCAUGACUUAUCCUAUGCAUAUUUCCCAACUUCUAACACUCUUAUGUUGUAUUCUAAACUAAAUUGGACCUAACCAAAGGUAUAUAAACCAAUCUAAACUCGUUUUAAAUUGUUUUACCACAAGAUUUCAAUCUAAAAUUAACCCAAACCUCAUUUUAGAGAUCUAAAUUAAACUCCACCAGUUCUAGCUCAUUUUUUAGCAACUUAGGAGUUUGCAGAAGUCACAAAUGACUUACCAACACCCUCCAAAAUGACCAUUUAGAAAUAAAACCUAAAAUUCAAAAUUUCACUAGUUCAAACCCCCAAAAUACACUUAAACAACUUUGCAAACACUUCAAAUUGACUAUCACUCCAUUCUAACACACAUAUAAGCUAAUUCUCAUCCCAAACAAGUUACAAAUGACCAAACUAACUACCCUGAAUCCUAACUUCUCACUUUAGACUAAUAUUUCAGAAAAUCACCUCUCAAACCUCCAUUUUAGACCAAAUUGAUCUAUAGCUCUACUUCCACCUUUACUCUUAUCAUUUCCACCAAAAUCAACACCAACACAAUCAUACCAACUGCAUUCACAAAGUUACUCUAAGUUCUGUUAAGGGUCUGACAAGUGUACCAGAUCGUAUCAAGUAAUAGUAAAACGGUAAGUCCGAAUAUCGUUUCCCUAGAGACUCUUAGGCCUAAACGUUCGUGUGAUUUCUUGAUUAUUUAAGACUUGAAUAACAAAAAUUAGGGUUCUAUAAUGCAAAAACGAAAAUUAAAUAUGAAUGCAAAGGUUUUGAUCAAUUGACCAAAAGAUAACGCAGGUGAAUGAUGAAUGAAUGAAUUAUGUUGUUGGGGUUUAUGGGUUCAUCCUAAUCCACUCUUAUAUAUCUAAGAAUUCGACUUUUUCAUUAAUGUUAAUGCCACUUUCUAAUUUACCCUAACUCCAAUGUCUUGGUGAAAGGAGACUACUCCUAAUUACUAGUUUAAUAUGUCUAGUCUCCCUAGCAAUUGAUCAUGCAUUACAUAAUUCGCACAGAAGCUUAAGGUAAUCGGUCCUCCUAUCCCUAUGUCUAGGUAAUAUUGCUACCAAGAGAAUUCCCUCAUGUCUAGACCUACAUAUACUUUUCCAUAUAGAUAGAAUCAAAGAUUAUGCUAUUGAAUAAUGUCUUAAACAAAAACAUGCAAAUAUAGUGGAGGAAAAACCCUAACAAUUAAUGAAUAAAAGCAUAUGAAUAAAGCAUCAAUUCAAUAUAUGAGAGUUUCACAGGAUUACAUCAAUUCUCCAACAACAAUAGAGGUUUAGUUCACCAUAAUCAUGGUGAAACUAGAUGGAAAUAAUGAAAAGAAUGAAAAGAUAAACCCUAGAUUUGAUAUAUUGGAGCUCCCGCAUCCAAAAUCCGCCUCUAAGGAGUGAAGAGAAUGUUUUUGGGCCUCUUUUGCCAAAAGAUACCCCUUCUAGUUCGUCUGAGUCUAUAUAUAACAUAGAAAAAUAAUAGAAUUUUGGCCCAGGUCCACUAGUACACCGCUCGGCGGUAGGUGCGGCACUCAGAAUAACCCCCAACGAUGGCGCCCAAGCGAAAAAUAGUGAAAAACUGGUCUUAGUCCACCACCUGCGGUGGUUUCACCGCCCGACAGUAAGCGCGACACUUGAGUUCACCGCUCAGCGGUACAAAGCUGCCGCUCAGCGGUACAAAGUUGCCGCUCAACGCUAGCGGAUUUUUCAGCACUUCGUUUUUCUGCCGUCUGGUUGACUUUUCUGCACAACAACUCCUUGAUACUUUAGCACCUCUUUCAAAUCAUUUCAAAAACCUACAAAAUCAAGGGAAUUUAGUGAUAAAAUCAUAAAGCAUAUCCUCAACUCUCUUAUUCACAAAACUAAAGCAAAAUCAUGAAUUCAGGCAAGUUUCUAAGUCAAAAAGGGUGCAUUAAGUAUCAAAAUUAAGUAUAAAAAUAACGGUUUUUCAAUCGUUAUCAAGUUCACACAAAAUUCUCACAAAGUAUAAAGCAUCAUAUCAUUCAUUAUUCUUAAUCAAACACAAUUAACAUUAAAACAAUCAUUUUAGACAUAGUCAACAAUAUACAAUAACAUACAUACCAACAGUCACAAUUUCACAUAUUAUUAUCAAAUUUAAAGACAAACAUUAGCUUCCCUUCCUUACACGAAACAACAGAACUUUAUAAACACCGAACCCUUGCUUAGAGCUCAAGAAACUCUAGAAACACCAACAAAACACUAAACAGAGAUUAGAGAGAAUCCUUAGGACCUCUGAUCAACAGGAAAUUAGUAAAAGACAUUACAACUCACAUGCUACAAGAGAUCAUCAAGCAUGAUCUCAAUUAAGAACGAAAAAAGAAAAAGGAGACGAAACUUUCUUACUCUAUUGAAGAAAUUGAUUGGGUAGAAACAUAGACCUCGUAGGUACCUCGUUAUUGUCAAAGAGAUGAUCAGAAGUUAGAACUCUUAGAGAGAAAGUAGAGAACUAUAGAAAAGUAGUUUCUAGAGAGAUAAUAUUUUUAAAAUAAUGAAACUCUUUUAUAACAAAACUACUUAUAAAUAAACCAUUUAAUAUUAAAAUAACUGAAUCUCACUAUUUUUAAACUAUCAUCCUUCUAAAAUGCCAUUUUCUAGGGUUUUAUAGUUUUGAUCAAGUGUGCACUUCUUUUUAAUAGUCACUUACGUAAUAUUUCAUCAUACACCACUAAAUAAAAUAUUAAAACUUUAAUAAUCACACAAGAGAUCGUUAAGAAAUUAAAACUACAAGAACUUUUCUCAAAUAAUGAACUACUAUAGAAGAAACCACUAAGGAAACAAAUCUUUUAUUCUAUCAUUUCAUCACAUUCCAAGUUCGUAAAUCUUCACCUAAUUCACCAUGUGCUUACACAGGAAAGUUAUUAUUACAAAAAGAACAAUAAACAAAAAAAGAAAGAGACAAGAUAAGCUAGUGUGCAAAAGAAACAUCAUGAAACAGUUAUAUUAUAUCAAAUAUCAACUAAACAUUUUAUAAAAUGUAACAAUUCAGAUAAACACACAUCCACAGUUGACACUAGACUCAAUUAUUUGAAUACAUACUUUUGACAUAGGACUUCAACAUAGGCAUGCACUUUGUAAUGAUAUUUAUGCUCUAUAGAGUCAUAACCAAAGGAGUUAUCACUCUACAACUUACAAGAUUAGUAUCCUUUGUGUAUAGGACCAACAAUUUUGUAGCUAGGACGUCUUGCAACUUUUACCACAUAACUCAUUCUAUUCUAUUUGAGUAUGAAUAAUUAUUAAAUUUUAGAAUACUUCCUUUCUUAUCCUUAUAUGUCUAUGCAUACACUAAACAUUACCACUAUACAAAAUUUCUCCUUGAAAUUUGUUGAACAACAUUUUCAAACGUAUCAGUUUUAACAUCCUCAUUUUCACAUAGAGAGUCUUCAUACUAACAAACAUAUAUACUUUCAAUUUAAAAUCAAUGUCAAAGCAAUCAAGAAUAACACAACUAAUAUACUGGCAAGCACUUAGAGGUGGCAUUAGUGUCAGACUUCUCGUAAAAGGUGGUGCUUAGUGUUAGUCUUGGCACACAACAUCAUUCUUCUCGCAAAAAAGUCAUGCUCACCGACACUCUUCUACCACUCAACGUCAAGGAAUUAAAUUGAUUCAUACCUGUAGCGAAAGUAUAGUGCUCAACGGUGCCUUGCUACCUUUCAACGCUAAAUAAUUCACAAAAAUGAGCGCUCAAUAGUAAAAAAAGGGCAUGAUAACCAGUCUCAAGCUAAAAUGCUUCUAGACUUGCACAAUCAACCUUGUGCUAAGCGUCACACCAGUAUCAUUCAAUGUUAUAUAAGAUUACAACACACUUAAAUUUGUGACUUAGGUGAAAUGACACCUGAUCAAUUGUUCAAAUUGGAAUUCCUUUUCCAAAGAAAUGGUUUUACACAUUUUAUAUACCUUAAACUUAUACCAAUUUGUACAAUUGCUUAGCUCUUUAGUUCUUUGAAUCACAACCGUCAAAACAUUCAAGCAAAACUCAAUUCAAUACUUAAACCAUACAAUUCAAUUUAAAUACAAGCAUCAAUAUGAUGCAAACAACAUACCAAAAAAUCAACAUUAUACAACUUACGCACACUAAAGCAAUUAGUUUUCCUUACAUGAAAUGCGACCAACAACUUGAUGACCCCUAAAACACUCUUAAUCGUAUAGAAAACUCAAUAUGCCCCUAUGAACAACGCAAACACAAUCAUGAAACACCAUUAAGAUCACUGAUAAACAAAAACUAGCAUAAAGACACUAGUAAAAAAAGGGUUUUCUAACGCGGCUAAUACGUCUCGGUUUACACAAACCCAAAGAAAAUAUAAAUGCGGUUGAAGUACUGUAAUUUCAACAAAUUUAUAGGCCUCGGUUCAACAGGAACCGAGGCAUAAUAGUAAUAUUAUCUCGAUUAGAAAACACCCGGAGCGUAUAAUCUGCGUAUAGGCAUCGGUUGGAGGAAGGAAUCGAGGUAGUAGAAAUGUAUUACUUCGGUUAAGGGUAUCACCGAGUCAGUAUAUGCGCCACGUCUUCAUUGCUUCCAAUGCCUUCGCGAGACAUUUCCAUUCUUGCAGCAUAGCCUCUCCUGAAACCUAUCUUCGGCAUUUGCUAGGGUUCAUCAUCACUCACCCAGUUUUCUCCAUUUUUGGUUGUUUAAACCACUAAUUUCUUUCAUUCCUACCGGUUGAAUGCAUCCUGCCUCUGAACUGACCGAUUGGAACUUCAAUUAACACCAUUUUCAUCCUUCUCACACCUUCUCCUUCUUUUUUGACCGAACAAAACACUUCCUCGUUCCAUUUCACCGAUUCAAUCGGUGAAUCCUUCUUUCUCACCGAUUAAAACCUCACAAACCCCCAACCCUAGGUCGUCUCCGCCAGAAGGUCGCCAAUAGGUCGUCGUCACCACUACAGUGUUCUCGCAUUGCUUCACGAUUGUAAGAUCUGGGAAAAUAGGAGUUUUAAAAAUAAAGUAAUUUUGAGACUUUGAAUGUGUUAUAGAACAUAAUUUUUAUGUUAUUUCUUUAUUUUUAUAUUUUUGCCUAGGGACAAAAGGGUCUUUUACUUUUAUUUAACUGGUGUAGAAAUUAAUUAAGAGAGGGUGUANNNNNNNNNNNNNNNNNNNNNNNNNNNNNNNNNNNNNNNNNNNNNNNNNNNNNNNNNNNNNNNNNNNNNNNNNNNNNNNNNNNNNNNNNNNNNNNNNNNNNNNNNNNNNNNNNNNNNNNNNNNNNNNNNNNNNNNNNNNNNNNNNNNNNNNNNNNNNNNNNNNNNNNNNNNNNNNNNNNNNNNNNNNNNNNNNNNNNNNNNNNNNNNNNNNNNNNNNNNNNNNNNNNNNNNNNNNNNNNNAAAUCUUAGUGGUUUUAGAUAUAAACUGAGAGAUUUUAUUUAUAUUAAAAAGAUAGAGAUAGAAUAGAAAAGGAUAAAAAGGAUAAGAGUGAAAAAGGGUUUGCAUUUUGUUACCCUAAAUGCAAAAAAAACGAAAAUUAGAAACAUAAGGGAGAGAAAAGACGUUUUCUGGGAGAAAAUAGAGCAGAGAACGAGGCAUCAAAAAUAGGAGAACCAUCGGUGACGUUCUGAAGCUUUCUUGGUGGUUUUGGAAACAAAAAAAUAGUAAGACACCAGGUAAGGGGAGGAACCGGUUAUAUUGUAACACAUGAUUGGUUUAGGGUUUUGAUAAGUGUUUUCAUGUUAUAGGGAAAUAUAUUUUGUAAUGUGGUAUAAUAUUUAUUCUUUACUUGUGCUUCAUUGUAAGGAAAGUAACUAGAAUUGUCUUGUUGUGUAUUGUUUCUCUUUUGAUAUGAAUGUCUUGCAUGGUGAGAUGAGUUUUAAAUUGUCUCUAGCAUGAAUGGUGUAAUUUCAGCUAUAUGUGAAUAAUUUAUGAAUAGUUGUCUAUGNCAUCUUCGCGUGUGACUUGUUGGAAUUUUUGGUUCGCUUAUUGAUUUAAUAUAAUCAUUCUAAAAUUAUUAUGGUUUAAUAUAUAAUUAUAUUAUGGACGUGAUUUCACUUUCUGUAAUAUAAGGUUUAUAUAUUAUAAUAUAUUAUUGUUAUAAUACAGUAAUACAUAUAAGGUACGUAUAAUAGUAUGUGUAUAUAUAAUAUUAUGUUAGUGAUUUUUUUUAGUUACGUAUAUAAAUAUAUAAUAUUAUAUGGUGUUCAUUUUAUUAAAAAAAAAUAUGUGUGAAAUUGGUAGGAAAGUGUUGGUAAACGUUGAUGAUGAAAAGAAAAGAGUAUGGAAAUUAAAUUAUAAAAGUGAAUAUUUUUAUUUGUUGUGGUGAUAUUUUAUCGUAAUAAUUUUAUAUGUUUUUGUGGUGAUUUAUUUGAUGUAGUAGUAUUUUUAUAAGAUGUUGUAGUGUUGUAUAUGAAGUCGUAUUUUUAUAUGGUGUAGUAAAAUCUUGUGUUUGAUGUAUUGAUGUUUAUCAUUGAGAUUUUUAAGUGAAAAGUAUUGAGAUUGUGUUAAAUCAAUGAUUGGUUCUUUAAUACAUAUUAGUAAGGAUGUGUAUUGGUUUGUGAUCGGUGAGUUAAUAUAUAUAGUAUUGAGACUAUGCAUGAAAGGUGAUGAGCAGGACAUGUUGAACAUUAUGAUGAGGGAGCAUUGUAUAUUUUGAGAAUAGUGAGAUAAACUUUAUGAUUGUUGAGCAAUGCAUGUUUUUGAGAAUGUGUACUGAGUUGUGAUGUAGACAUGAAACUAUGUUAUUUCCUUAUACUGUCGUCGAUCAUGUAUGAACUUUUCAUGCUGUGCUACGUUAAGAAUGUGAUGUUGUUGGACUCUCGUUUAAGAGAUAGUGAUUCGAGUGUCACUUCCCUCUACGCGGGGAGGUGGAUAUCUCGCCCAAAAGACUUCGGCUCGUGCUUAGUAUAGUGCACUGGUGCGCGUAGUGCCAGUGUUUUUACUUGUUAGUCCUUGAGAAGUCGGGGAGAUAGGUCGGAAGUUGCGAUGGAAGACGGCUCGAAUUGCCCUGUUGAGGAACAGGUACCUGUUAGUGAUAACAGGUCAUGACGACACAGUAAAAGGAAACGACAUUGGGUCAUGAAUGGAUUGAUGUUGUGAUGAAAUAUGUUAUAUGUUUAUAUUACUCUGUGAUUAAAAUGAAAUAUGCUUUAUUGUGUGUUAUGAUAUUUCUGGUUACUCACCUUGAAAGUUGUGGAUGUGGUUUCCACCUACGAUGAUCGUACUUGUACGGGAGUAGAUGGCAUUGCAGAUAAAACUGGAUUGAAGUAGCUGACGUGAGAGUUGGGAUAUCUAAGUUCGGGGAUUGAUUAUUUAUUUUUAAAAGUUUUCCAAUUUGAUACUUUUAUGUAAAAGUGAUAUUCUAAGAUUUUCAAACGAUGUUUAUAGUCAUGACAUAAUUUCGCCUGUAAAUUGAAUGUAUUAUAGAAAGGUUUUGAAAACAAAAUUAUACCGUGACAUUCCGAAAAACUGGGGUGUUACAACGAUUCCUUUUGUCACGCAAGAUCUCCAAACACCAUGGUCGGUGCUGCCAUCCAACCACUACCUCUCCGUCGUGACUCCUCGUUGUUGACUCGCUGCUGCUCCCUCCCCGUUGCGUCCACAACGUCACCGCCAUUGCAGAGCGAAAAGGAAAUCUUGGGUUGGGAUUUUGAAGUUGGGUUUCUGAAAUUGGGAAAUCUUGGGUCUCUGUUUUGAUCUUGGGUUGGGAUUUUGUGCUAUUGUUUUGAUUUUAGGUUGGGGUUUUUGUCGGAUACAGAUUUUGGAAACACUUUGGAGUUUGAACACUGAAGAGCAAUGCAGGGGAAAAUGCAGUUUUAACAGAAGAGGAAAAGCCUGUUAAGCACUUUGUUGGCCAUCUCUGUGGGAGCUUUGUGUUCAUACUGUUUGACAAAUCCACUUCCACCCUAUUUUUGGCCUCUGUCAGUAAUCACUCUCUUCCUCAUUUUAAUUUUACUAUUUUUGACAGGAUCAAUAUGGUAAGGUACCUUUGUAUUGGGAAAUUACUAUUAAUGGCUAUGUAGCGUUUGCCGAUGAUGCAAAAUUGCUUAAAGGUGCUUGUGGCAAGUCACUUGCUUCUUUCUCACAAGGUGCUUAACUUGUAUCACCAUUCCCUUUAAUUUUUUCUCAAUGUGUUAAGAAUAAAACACUUCAUCUAAUUGCUCAAACUCUUGCUCUCUAAUUGGACAUGAUGUUUCUACUCCCUAACUUUUGGAGGAUUGAUGUGUUAUGAAAAUCCUAAGAAUAAGAUCAUUGUAGUUCUUGCUAAGGAGGAGGAAAUCUGGGGUGCAACCUUCAAGGUAACAAAAUGAAACAAAUACAUUGUUCUUUAGAUCUCUGUUGAUGAACUUGAAAUCCAUUUAUUUUCAAUGAUUGUGGAACUGGUUGAAUGAUAUAUAUAUAUAUAUAUAUAUAUAUAUAUAUAUAUAUAUAUAUAUAUAUAUAUAUAUAUAUAUAUAGAGUGGAAGGGCCAACAGUUGUUGCAGCUAAACAACAGAGGUUCCUUUGGAGAAAUAACCAUUGCAAUGAGACAUAGGAAUAAAGUACCUUAGUUCUAUUAGUAUUUCUCUUAUCAGCACUUGGUUCUAUCAGUGUACAAUAACGCUGUCAAUCUAAUAAAAACUCAUUUGCUUUUAAAUUUCCUUCUACCAUUCUAUAUUCAAAAUUUCUAAAAAACAAAAAUUCCAAAAUUACAGCAUGGUUCAGUAAAGGCCUAAAAUAUGAAAAAAAAAAACAUGUUACUACCUCGGUUACUAAAAAACUGAGGCAUAAUCCUACCAUCUUUUGAUUCGGUUCAUACCCGAGGCAAAAAGCUUAUCCCUUUUUACCUUGUUUGUAUAUGCAUCGGUUGCAGAACUGAUGCCUAUAAACAAAACUAACUGGUGUCUUUUUCCCUUACUAUACUAGUGAGAACACAAAAUUUACAUGAGAUAAAACAGAUAACAUGAAAAAAAAGAACCAACUGUAUAAAAAAGAAAUAAAAAAAACAACUUAUCUUAUUCAAGAAAUUGACUGAUUGAUGAACUCACUACCAGAAGAAACAUACUGUUUCCAAUAUUCAAAAAAGAUAAACAUAUGGUAAGAUAUAAUAUAAAGAAUAAAAUAUAAUUCUAAGAAAAAGUUAUAGAAAAAAUAAAUAUUUUUAAAUAAUGAAAAUCAUUUAUAAAAUUUUUAUUUUUACUUUAUAUUUUUAAUAUUUAAAAUAAUCAAAUCUCAUAUUUAAACGUAUUAUCAAUUUUAAAACAUAAUUUUUUACAUUAUUUUAACGUUUGGAUUCUCAAUACUAAAGGAAUAAUAAAAUGAUAGAAACUGUAAUGUAAGAAAAUAUUUGGAUAACAGUAAAAAAAGAAAAAAAAAAGAACUGAGAAGAGUUCCAAAUAUUAUGGAAUAGAGUAAAUAAAAAGGCACCGACAAAAAUUUGGGGACAAAAACAUAUAAUAACCAAUAGUGACAGUAGAAGUGAAGUGAUGGUUUUGGAGUUUGAUGCACAUUUUCUGGAUCUAUGAUUGAUGAUGCUUGUCACACUCAUAAGCUAUGUUACCAAUGAAUCUUUUUCUUCCACAAAACUUAGCCUAGCUGGUAAAGUAGAAAAUAGAAGACAGAGUGAGAGUUAACAACUCUAAAAUUAUUUGUCACUUUCAACUUAAAUAUUAUUUGUUGUUAUUCCAACAACUAUUUCUUGGCAACUUGAUAACGAAAGCCAUAGAAAAAGAAUUAUUUCUUCUUUCAAUUAAACAGUGAAAAUCGGGUUACUUUUACCUUCAUUGAUUCUAACUUCUCUAAUAACAACAUUUUCUUUCAAUAUUUUAUUUAUAUAGGUUUAAUACAAUAUAACAUUAUUCUUUUGCUUUAUAUUUUAUUUUUCAAUUCUUUUAUUUCAUACAAACAAAUAUAUAGAUAAUAUAUGAUUUUAUUUUCUUUUUAUUUUAAGUUCAUAAUUGUAUUUGAAAUAUUGCUUAUUUUAGAAUUUGAUAGUUUUAUUAUAAUUUUUUUUAUUGUUGUAAUGUGUUUGCAGAUGGAAUAAAUUGGAGAAUUUUAAGGUGGAUACUUUUAUUUCUUAAUCUUAAAUUCUAACAGUUAAUUGGUAAUUUAUUUUAUUACUUUAAAAACUUAAAAAAUAGUUAAAAGUGGUAGUAAUAGUAUAAAUAACACUUAAUUAUUUUAUUACUAAAAGUACUAUUGUAAAUAGAAAUUUAUAGUAAUUGAGUUUUAUUUUAUAAUAAUUAUCAUGUUUUUACAAGUUUUGCUAAAAUCUUUUAUUAUCAUAAGAAUCCUAGCAACAAGGUCUACCUUUUUAUUUGAUCGGUUUGUUAAAUAAAAUUAGUUCAUUUUUUUGUUUUUUUUAAAGUCUUAAUACAUGUGUGAGGUUAAAGGAUUGCAUGUGUCAUCUCAAAGCUAUAGAUAAAUCUUUUUUGAACUAGAAUUGUUAGGGUAUGAUCAAAUAAUUGAUCUAAUAUUUUUUUUUGUAGAUAUUGCCUUCUUUGUGGUUAUGAGUGCAUAAAGGCAGAAAAAAUUUGUGUUUUGUGCUCCUAAAUCAAGUAAGAAAAGUUAGUUAUUUAAAAUUGAAUUCUAUUUGGUAGAGAGUUGUGGUAUAAAUCUAAGUUGAGAUUGAUUGCUAUUGAUGAAUGAGAUGAAUUGACUAGUUGGAGGAUUGAUGAGUUGUGUUUAUUAAUUUGAAUGAUUGAUUCUAUGUUUGAUGUGUUAACUUAAUAUAUCUCUUUGGUAAUCUGGUUUCUUAGAAUGGUUUAUACUACAUUUAGUUAGAAGUAACCAUAGAUGAAUGACAUUCAAAUAUAUUACAUUGACAAAUUGGUAUUAUAGGUUAGCGACGGCUACGACCAGUAAUUUUGGGAGAGCCAAAACAAUAUACUCAAACUUUGUAGAUUCAAUUAUUAUCUCUAAUAAAACAAAAAUAAAUAAUUAAAUAAUUCAAUCAUAAUUCAAAGUAGGUAAAGAAAUCAAAUUUGUACUGUUUUCAUUUUCAUACGUAGCUUUCCUUUUAUCAUUUUUAAAAAAUAAAUCUUCUUUUUCAUAGGUAUUUUUAUUAAAAAAAAUUCAAGACCAAAAAAUAAACUAUCAAAAUCAAAUUAAAUAUCAAGAGACAUAAUUAUUAAAAGAAAAAUAUAUGAUAAUAAAAUCAUAAUUACAAUCAAAUUCUAUAAAGAUAAUAAUAGUUCACUUUUUAUUUUAGGUUGAUAAAAAAUCAUUAUACAAAUGACUUAUAAAUAAAAAAAAUAAGAAACUAAUAUUUUAGUAUUGAGUGGAACAAGAUAGAGUUACUUUUUUUCAUAAUGGAACAAUACGUGUAAAAAAUAAGGGCAAAAAUAAUAAAUUUGUAUUUAACUUUCUUUUUGCUUUCUUCAUAAAUAAGAAAGUACAAGAAAAAAAAGGAAAAACUGGAUACAGUAAGUAAACCGAACCGAGACUAAAAGAGAGACAAAAAAAUUAUCUUACUAAGUUUUUAUUUAUUUAUUAUAUUUAAUGUUAUAUUUUUUUUAUAUAUUAACAUUAAAUGACGUGUUUUAUAUAAAGGUUAAAAAUCUUCCUAAUUUAAUUGUCAUAAAUUAUUAUUAACAUAUACAAAAUUUUAAGAGUUUGGGGCCAUGGCAUAUUAUGUCUUCCAAAUGAGUGCCAGGGGUUUUAGCACCAAGAAUUAUCCACUUAGUGUUAGGUGCCACUUCAAUUUCAAAGAUUUUGUAGGCUUGAUAUGGGUACCACCUUGUUCUUCUAUAAAUUGGAAUUCUUAUUUAGUUAACUAUUGGAUUAGAUUGAAAUUUAUAUCUAAUUCUUCACCUUUUGAGCGUUGCUAUCUUUGUUAGAGGUUUCUUGUUAGAGUAAUAUUUUUCGUCAUUUUGAUGAUCAUAAUGAAAAUAUUGUAUUUGAAUAUUAUGUUAAUACAAUAGAAAAUAAAUGAUGAAAUAUUAAUAUUUAAAUUGAAAUAAAUAAAUAAUAGGUGAUUGAUGCAAUGAGAUGAGUUUGGGUUGAAGUAAAUUAUAUGUAUUACAUGAUGUGAUGAUUUAAGAUUAUGUGAGAAUGUGAUGAAUGAGCUAUGCAUUAUAUGUUGUUUUUUUGCUAUUUUCUUGGGAAUGUUCUUACUAUUUUCUUGUUAAUGUUUAUUGUGAAUUAUAUGUAUAUAUGUGAAUGAAUGGUUGUGAUGUUUAAUGUUGAAUGAAAUGAUAAGAUGUGGUUAUGAUGUGAUGAACAUAGAAUGACUUUCAAGGGAGAAAUUAUUUCACUAUAGCAUUAGGUGUUUUGAGUAGGGACUCAGGAAAGAUUAUCUAGUUUCUACUAGUAUUUUAACUCACAUAGAGUAAGAUAUCUAGUUAGUGAGAGUUGAUGGAGGUUUCUAUGAUGAGAAUUAGUUCUAAAUGGGCCAUUUUUAGUUGUCAUAGGUGAACUAACCUUAUAAUAUAGGAAGGUUAGGUAGAGUUAUGGUUUUAUAAGCCAAAGUGUUAUUGAGAUCCUUAUGACAUGUACAAAAUCUUUGAGGUAUGAUUCAAUACACAAAAUCAUUCAGAGGUAAUUGUUGAAGUUUGUCUUGAAAAUGGUUUAUGAUCGAAUGAAGCUAGUGUUUAUGGUUGAUUUUUUGUUUUAAUCAUUUUGAACUAUUUAUAAGUCUUUUUUUUUAAUAUACUUGUUUACCCUCCUUUUGAGUUUGGUUAUGGAUUAUGUUAGAUAAACUUUAAAAUUAAGGGCUACAGUUGUAAUUUUGUUAGUUUUAAUUUUCCUAUGUGUUUCCUGAUUUGGUUUUCUUAUUAUGUUAUUAUUCUACUAGUGCGUCAGAUCUAUCUUUUCGUUUUUACUCAGUUUCAAUAGUUUUUUAGUUAGGUUUUAUUAUGUAAAUGGUUAUUUUUAUCCUAUUUAAAGACCACGUUCAUUUAAUGAAAGCACCGCAGAUUUAUCAGAAAAAUAUUUUAGUGUGGCGUAGUGAGUUUUGUUUUAACAAAGUAAAUAUUUUAGCGUGGCACAGCGAGACUUGUUUUAUAAAAGUGGUAUCAGAGCUUUAUGUUAUGAGUAUUGAGAGAGAAAGAGAGAGAGAUGAGAGGCAAACACCGUGAGGAAAAAAGUGUGUGCUUGAGUUGUUUUGUGAGAGAGAUGACAAACGUACUCAACGGAAUGAGUGUGUCACAAUUGCCGAAAAAGAUCAAUUACGACAAUUGGUCUUUGUAGAUGAAGGUUCUUCUUGGAUCCCAAGAUGUAUGGGACAUAAUGGAGGACGUGUAUAAUGAACUCGAGGAUGAUGAUCAUCAGACAAUGAACCUUACUGUUGAACUGAAAAAUACAAAGAUGAAAGACAUAUCAGCUUUGAACUUUCUAUAUAAUGCAGUGAAUAAAUCGGGAUUUGAGAAAAUAGUUUAUGCAAAGUCAGUAAAAGAAGCAUGGACAAUUUGGAGAUGGAUGAAAAAGAGGGAGUUGUCUAGUUUAUACAAAGGAGAUAUUCGCGUGAAGUUGGUUUGAGUACAAGCUCUUAGAAGAGAGUUUGAACAUAUGGAGAUGGAUGAAAAUGAGGGAGUUGUCGAGUUUACAGCUCGAGUGUAGAAGAUGGCCAACCAACUCGGAAUGAACGGAGAAGAGGUGCCUCCUAACCGGGUUGCGGAAAAGAUCUUGAGAAAUCUAACGGAUGAUUUUGAAAGUAUCGUGGUCACUAUUGAAGAGACAAAGGAUCUGUCAACUUUCACUAUGGAGGAGUUAUCUGAGUCAUUAAAGGCCCACGAACUGAGGAAUAAGAAGAAGAAGAAAAAGAAGAAGAAGAAGAAGUAGAAGAAAAAGAGGGAUCCCGACGAUCAAACACUACAAGCAUAAUUUGACUCGAAUGAAACUCAGAAUACUCAAAGCCGAGGUCUUGAAGGUAGAGGACGAGGAGGCAGAUGACGAGGUGGACAUGGUCUAGGUAAUUUUGAGAAUGAUAGUGAAGAGCAAACCGAUUAGCAGAAUUGGCAUAACUAAGGACAAGGGAAAGGCCGAGAAGAUUUGUCAAGAGUGGAGUGUUUUAAGUGCGGCAAGCAUGGCCACUAUGCAAAUGAAUGCAGAUCGAGGAAGUGCUACAAUUGUGGUAAGUCCGGUCACAUUGCUAAAUUUUGUUGAGCUGAGAAGAAAAGUGAGAGAAACCUUCUUACGGAAGGAGAAGAUGAAGAAGAGGUGGAGAUUCUGUUGACAUCAGAGUUGAAGGUGGAGAACUCGGAAGUUGGACCAUGCUUGAAGUCAAAGGCUGAGGAGAAUUCUACCAACUCAGUAUGGUAUUUAGAUACUUGAGGAAGUAAUCAUAUGUGUGGAAAUGAGAACUUCUUUGAUAAACUCCCCAAGGUGGUGGCCAGAUUUGUGUCUUUCAGAGAUGAUUCCAAGGUGGUCGUGAAAGGGCGUGGAACAAUUCGGCAUAUGCAGAAUGAUGGAAGAGUUAGAGAGAUUAGGGACAUUUACUAUGUUCCUAAGCUGAAGAGAAAUAUUGUUAAGAUUGUUGAUAAGGGAAGCACUGGUUUAGCUAAACUUUAAUCUCACAGUGUUCUGGUUUUUUAUGAUGACAACACAUUAUUAAUAACACAUGUAUUGUUAUGUGUUACAUGUUCCAUUCUUUAUUAUGAAUGAUAUCUUGAAGAACAAGUUUGUGUUGAUUCUCAUAUAUGUAUGCAUAUUCACUGAUUUUAUACUUGAUACAUCAUUUGUGAUUGCAUUACAUAUGCUUCUGAAAAGAAAACCACGUGCACUUUGUUGAACUUAUAUUGUGUGGAAAAUCUGCAAGUUUUAAGUCGACUUCAUUAUGAAGUAAGUCGAUUAAAACUCGUGACUUUGCACAGAUUUUCUAAAACAGUGCUGUGAGUAAUUUUGAAAUGAAAAGUUUUUCAAAACUGUUUUGAAGUGUUAAAGUCGACUGCAUGUGCAGUGAAUUCGACUUAGUUAGUUAUAUGUUUUGAAAUUCUGUUAAUGUUUAUGUGCUAUAACGACUAUAUUUCAAUUAUAUGCUAAAGCAUUAAAUGCAAGUCAAUUGAAUUAAAUGCGUAAUCAAUUUGGUUGUUAUGACUGUUGCUAAAAACUGUCUAAUGACAAUAGAUUACAUUAGUGGCAAAGUCAACUACAAGAGGGUCUGUUUCAUAAAAAACUAUAAAUAGACAUGAUUUUGUAAUUCACAAAGAAGAAUGAGACUUUGGUUGAUCUAACAUUUUCAUUUGUUGUUUCAGAUUGUGAUCUUUGUGAAAACGCUCCAAGAACUCAUCAAGAAGAAAGAAGAGAUCUUUCUUUGAAGAGUUUCUUUAGGAGGAAGAAAGUUGUGCUUGUUGUUUGAUCAAAUUCUGCACUAUUGGUGUUCAUCAUAUUGAUCAAGACUUUAUCAAUCUAUUGGAGAUUGGACUGCCCUAUUGGGAUUACAGGAAGAGAACGUGGAGUUUUGUACACUUUGAGGAUUGUUCAAAGUGGGUUAAAGAUUGCAGAAGAGGGGAUAUCUUGCUACAGAUCUUUGUGUUGCUGCCUAUACUUUUAGUUAGAGGGUUAGAGAGAUUGUCUAUAUUUUGACGUGGAGGUCUCUAUAGAAAUCUUGUGUAAAAACCUUGACUAAUAUAGUGCAUUGGCUUCCUGGUUGUGGAAGGAAACUGGAUGUAGGCAUUGAGGCCGAACCAGUGUAAAAACUUUGUGUUUGCUUUCUUUUUCCCUACACUAUUUACUUUGAGUCGACUUUACAUUUAGCGCAGUCAACUUUAUUUUUUCGCUACACUUAAACUUCUUAUUACUUGCAAUUCAAGAAACUUUGUAAAGGUUUACACUUUGCGAAAAAGAUUUUAAAAAGACUCUGAUGUUUGAACCUCACCAAUUCACCCCCCCCCCUCUUGGUGUUGAAACUAAGUCAUCAUGUUUCCAACAAAUAUUUUAAGCAUGGGUCAGAUAAUUGAAAAAUGUAAUUCGAUUUUUAUGAAGGACCAUGUACUGUAUUUAAAAGAUAAGCAUGGUCGUCUAACAACCCUUGUAAAAGCGAAGAAAAUCGGUUGUAUGAACUGCAAUUGAGGAUUUUGCAAAAAAGGUGCUUGAAGCAAGAUAUGACUAACAAGAGCUCAGAUAACUCCAUUAAUGAGGUACAUGUAACAUGUUUUUUAAUAAGUGCAGAAGAUGAAAAAUUUGAAGAAGUCGUGCUUGAUGAAAGAUGGAAGAAAGUUAUGGAUGAGGAGAUCAACUCAAUUGAAAAAGAUGAAAUGUGGGUGCUGACAGAUUUACCCACAAGUGAUCGACCAAUUGGUGUAAAGUGGGUAUACAAAAAGAAAAUUAAUGUAGAAGGAGAGGCAGAGCGCUAUAAAGCCUGACUUGUGGUGAAGGUCUACAAACAACAGAAGAGGAUUGAAUAUGAUGAAGUUCACUCGAGUGACAAGGAUGGAAACAAUCUGGCUAUUGUUCUCAUUAACAACUCAACAAGGAUUAAAGAUUCAGCAGAUGGAGAUGAAGUUUGCAUUUCUGAAUGAUUUUCUUGAAGAGGAGGUCUAUGUAUAACAACCCUUCGGUUACAUGAGAAGAGGUGAAAAAAAGCUCUUCGAGCUUGGAAUAAAAGAAUUGAUACCUAUUUCAAGAAGAAUGAUUAUGAGCAAUGUCCAUAUGAACAUGCUUUAUACCUAAAGAAGCACAAAACAGGUAUAUUGUUCGUUGCUCUAUAUGUACAUGAUUUGAUUUUCAUGGGAAGUAAAUUUGAGCUAGUUGAGGAAUUUAAAGAAGUGAUGAAGAUGGAGUUCAAAAUGACCGAUCUAGGCAUGAUGAAAUAUUUUCUGGGUCUGGAGGUGAAUCAAAGCUCAAUAGGGAUUUUUGUGUCUCAAAAGAGGUAUGCUGAAGAUAUACUGAAAAAGGCAAAGAUGAUGAAGUGCAAUCUGGUUUCCACUCCAAUGAAACUUAACACAAAGCUAUCAAAAAAUGAAGAAGGGGAUCGUGUUGAUUCAAGAAAGUAUCAAAGCUUGAUUAGGAGUCUUAGGUACUUAACAAACACAAGGCUAGACCUUAUGCUAAGUGUAGGAGUCACAAGCCGUUUAAUGGAAGAGCCAAGAUAUUAUCAUUGGAAAGCAUUGAAGCAUAUACUAAGGUAGGUAAAGGGAACUAUGUCUUUCGGAUUAUGAUAUACUAAGUCGGAUAACUACCGACUUAGUGGGUAUUCAGACAAAGACUGGUACGGAGAUGUGGAUGACCGAAUGAGCAUAGUUGGUCAUGUCUUCUUUAUGGGAGAUACAACAUUUACUUGACUCUCAAAGAAAUAACCUAUUGUUGCACUAUCAACGUGUGAGGCUGAAUAUGUGGUAGCAUCUUGAAGUGUCCGGUAUACAAUCUAGUUGAGAAACCUGUUAAAGAAUUUGAAGAUAGUCCAAGAAGAAAAGGUGUUGAUCCAAGUAGAUAAUAGAUCGACAAUUGAGCUGACAAAGAAUCCAAUCAAUCACGAGAGGAGCAAGCAUAUUGAUGUUUGUUUUCAUUUCAUCCAAGAAAAGGUAAAGGAGGGAGCGUGGAACUUAAACACGUAGAAAGUAAAAGGAAAAUAGCUGAUAUAUUCACGAAGUCCUUAUCUACAAUAUCAUUUGAGGAACUAAUCGGGAUGAAGGAAGGACAUUUUAAAGUUUAUGGAAGAAUUUUGUUAGAUAAACUUAAAAUUUAAGGGAUAAAAUUAUAAUUUUGUUAGUUUUAAUUAUGUUGUGCAUUUCAUGAUUUGGUUUUCUUAUUCUAUUAUUAUUCUACUAGUGCGUCAGAUUAUUUUUUGUUUUUAUUCACUUUCAAACUUUAUUUAGUUAAUGUAAACGAUUAUUUUUUAGCCUAUUUAAAGGUUAUGUUUAUUCAAUGAAAGCAUAGUAGUUUUAUCAGAAAAAUAUUUUAGCAUAGUGUUUUAUCAAAAAAUGCUACAAAUUGAAAGGUGAAAUUGUGUGAUAAUAGGAUAUAUAUAUAUAUAUAUAUAUAUAUAUAUAUAUAUAUAAUUCUGUAUUGUAUAAAUAAUUUAUUUUUUAUAUAAACAAAAUUAUAUUUUUAAAAAAUUUAUCAUUAAUAUAUGGAUGCAUAUUUAUUUUUCAUCUUAUAAUUAUUAGUAGUUAUAUAAAUAAAACAAAAGACAUAAAAAAUAUUUGUCAUGAAUAUAAAUGAAGUUUGUUUUAGUUAAGUUAUGAAAAAAAAAUCAAUAAAUUGAAGUUUUUUAUUUCACAAUUCUAUUGAAACAAACAGUUGGUCCCCAUGGGCUAUAAACAAAAGGAAGUCCUUAACAAUUAUUUGUUGAAUAAUAGUGUUUUAUUUGUUAUGAUAAAGAAUAUUGGAGGCAACCUCAUCAUUCAUUCCUAAAUCAAUGAUGAAUGGUACACAUGCACUUUCUAUUAACCGACCCAUGACUUUUCUUCACUUUAAAUAUUAUCGUUUUUCAACCUCCAACUCAUUUUUUAUUAUUAUAAAUUAUCUAUUCUAAAGAUAAACUUUUUUUAAUUAAUUUUUCUGUUUGGUAAGAAGAAAAAGUUUGCUUAGUCGGCACUCCUAAAAGUGCUGACCUUUCAAUAAUCAUUAAUAUGAGGAAAACUUGGAAUAAGACAUUCUCGAAUGAGAAAUGCUUCUUUGUCCUUACUCUCUCAUAGACAAAUUAUAUUUCUUAAAAUUUUAUGAUUAUAAAAACCCAUACAUGAAAUAAAACAAUAAAAUGUAAUAUUAUAAAAAGAAGAAGUAAACAUAUAAUGUGACCAACUUAGCAUUAAUCAGAAAAUAAAAUCAGUUUACUGGUGAAAAAAAAUAAUUACUCCACAUGAAACAUCCAGUCCACCUUCUUUGUGUGUAUGUGUUUUUUUUUUUCUUUGGAAAAUGACAUAAUUAGAAAUAUUAAUAAGAAGAGUGUACUUUAUAACUUUCAUACAUAUUUUUGUAUUUUAUUCAAUAUUUAUUUAAGAGCUUUUGUAUGGAAAUAAAAAAUAUGAUCAUAUGGUAAGAAGUUUAGUAUAAAAGGAUACGUAUUUUCUUUUUUCUAAUAUUAAAAAAUAAUAAAAUAUUAUAGUUAUAUAAAUUUCAUAAUAAAGUAUCAAAUAAAUUAAAAAUAAUUUAAUAAUACAAAAUGAGAGUGGGUAUCAAGGUGAACAAUAGUAAAAGUUUAUUUUUCAUCAUUAAACAAAUAAUCAUGGCUUUUAAUAAAUGAUCUAAAAAAAAUUAUUUAAAGAAAUUAAAAAUUUUAUUAUUAAUAAAUCAUGGCUUUUAAUAAACUAAACUAUCUAGAUAAAAAGAGAUAAAAACAAAAGAAACAUUUAUUUGACUAAACCAUUCCAUGAGCUUAAACAACAUUCAUAUCUUUAGAAAAAUCAUGGCUAAUCAUGAUUUUACUUGGCUAAUCAUGACUUUUAAUCAAUGAUCUAAAAAAAUUUAUUAAAAGGAAGGAAAAUCAUAGAUAAAUUUCAGCAACAUCUAUUUGAUAAAAAAAGGAACAUGUAAGGUAAUGGAACCGCCAAGGUGUUUGGGGCCAUAACUUUUGCGUUUUCUAUGUUGGAAGUGUUCUUAGCCACGUUUUCAUAUUCAUAUACUUUCAAACAAAAAUACUUUAUUUUCAUUUCAAUUUAAAUAUUCACUAUAGAUAAUCUAAAAUAAUUACACCGUUAUCAUCCAAACCACAAAUGUGUUAUGCGCUUUGUGUAUUAUUAAUUAAACAUAAUGAGUUAGUAACUCAUCUAAUGAACUACACAUCAAAAUUAUAAUACUUCAAAAUUUGUCAUUUCAUUAGAUAUCAAAUUUGUCACUUCUCUUAUAUAUCCGAGCAUAAACGAGAAUAUUUUUUUUUUAUUAUGGUAGAUAUGAGUUAUAAAUAUUAAUAGAUUAAAUAUGUUUAUAAACUAUUAUAAACAAUUAUAAAAUGUUUAAUUUAUAUAUUUUAGGAAAAUCGUGUAAAAUAUUAUUUUCAAAAAGUAAUAUGGGUGAGAUUUUUCAUGUAAAAGAACUAGAAAAUAAUAUUUUAGAAUUGGUAAUAGUUUUAAAACUAGUAAGAUUUUUAAUAUAAAUAGUUUCGUUAUAUAUGAGUUUCAUUAUUUUAAAACACAUAAUUUCUCUAGAAACCAUAUUUAUUUUAACUAUAAAUAUAUUUUUGUUAAGACAAAAUCGUCUAUGCACUUAAAUGCUCUCAUGUUUUGAAGUUUAAUUAAAUAACACUAAAACGGAAAAAUAAUUGGAAAACAACUUAGCAUAAAAACACAAGGCUUAGAACAUGAAUCUCCAAAACCUACACAAAACUUAAAACCUGAAUUCUCAAUAUAGAAAAGCUUAGGAAAACACAUAGGUUCUUAGCAAAUAGGAAAACAUCUAGGUCAAAACGCCUAGACUCAAGACUAAAUGCUAUUAUGCCUAAAGCGUCUAAGAAAGUUUGAGUUAAACACUUGAUGCUUAUAUACUUGAAAAAGAUAUUCAACUUAGCUCUCUAAAUCAAAACAAGUCAGACGAUGUCUCUAACAAAACAAACUAAGAUUUAAAGAUUAAAACAUAAAAAGAAAGCUUGAAAUAAGUUAAACACUAUCUGUCUAAGAAAAGACAAAAACAAAAGAAGCUUUUACUUGGCUAAACAAUUCUAUGAGCUUAAACAAUACUUUGUCCAACGAUGAAGUCUUUAUACAACACUUGGUAUCUUUAAAAAAAACUUAAUUGUUAAAAGUUACCUAAAAAAUAAUAAAAAAAAGCAUUUUAUUUUUUUGAGCAAACAUUAAAUGACAUUAAAUGCUCAACGUUUAAAUGAUUUCAACAAGUUAUUAACAUAGAACUUACACUUUAAAACAACUUUUAGACUUCAAAGAACUCAUCAAAGCUUACACUAUACCCAAAACAAAAUUAAUUGGAAAGAAAUUAGUCAAAACAUACUUUAACUCAUGUAUUACACUACAACAAAUUUAUUUAUUUUUAUUAUUAUUACUUUUCUCUUUUGAAAAUAUUUUUAAUCGAUUUUGUGUAAAUAUUCUCUUAAUUUAAUCCAAUUUAGAGAUUAAAAAAGCUUAUUAAUAAUGAAUCAUACGGAUAGUCCUACUUACAACUAUUUAGAUCCACUUCCAUGAUAAUUUCUCUUAUACCUUAAAAAAAGUGAUUUAAUGUUCAAGCUUGAAACUUACUAGGGAUGGCAAAAAAAUUUGCAUCCAUAGAUAUCUGCGGAUAAAAUCUACGACAGAUAGUUGAUACCCGCAGAUAUUUACUACCUACAACCCGCGGAUAACGGAUAUUUUAAUACUCGCUUAUAAACGGGUCGAGUGCGGGUAUUAUACUAUCCGUACUCGUGGAUAUCCGCUACCCGCAAAAAAUAAAAACUUAAUUUAUAUUUUAUUAAGUUAAAUUUAAUUAAAAUUAACAUUAAUUUAUAUUUUACAAGAUUAAGUUUAAUUAAAAUUAAAUUUUGUUUUAUAUGUAAAUUUUAUAUAUUUUUUUGUAAUUCUAUUUAAAUUUUAUUUUAAUAAUUUAUAAAAAUAUAUUUUUUAAAUAUUUAUGGAUAUCCGCGAAUAUUCACGGAUAUUCAUAGAUUUUAAAAUAUUCACGAAUAUUUUUUAAAUGAGUAUCCAUACAGGUAAUGAAUCAAAUAGUGAGUGAACUUUUUUUUUCAGGUCGAAUUGUGAGUAAUCACUCGUAUCUGACCGACCCGUUAUCAUCCUAAAACUUAUCAAACGGUUGUGUAGAAGCACAAUUCAUCACUUUGCCUUUUGGAAACAACUUACUUUAUAUUUACUCGUUAGAAAGCCAAAUUUCCAAAAACACCCUACUUUAAAUUAGAUAAGUUUCGGUUUCAAUAUAUUUACCCUUUUUAUUUUGAGUAUUGAUAUUUUUUUCUUAAAAUUAAGUGGUUAAUGAAUUAAAUUAUUCAGCUUUAAAUUUAGAAUAAAAUAUUUACGUAUAUUUAUUUUAGUUUAAAUCUCUGAAAUAUUUUAAAACUUUUCCCAAUCCCACAAUUUUUUUUUAUCGUAAUAAACGUGUGUUAUGUAAUAUAUAAUAAUUACAUGUCAUGUCAAUAUUAGUAAUGUGUGAUAAUUUAUGCCCUAAAUGUUUAUGUUAAAUAAGAAAUGAAAGAUCAAAAUUAAGGGAUAAAUGAUUUUCAUGAAUCACAUUUUUUUAAAUAAUAUGUGACAUAUUUCUACUUUAUAUGAUUCACGCUAAGAUUCUACUUAAACUUUUCACAACAUGUAAAUAAAUCGUUAAUCAAUAUGAAAUAUAAUAGUUAAUCAUAAUAAUUUUUAACAGAUAUUUAUAUAUAUAAAUAGCACAAAGAUGAUGUUCAGAAAUAGUUCUCACAAAUUUAUUCAAAUAAAUUAGAAAAACAAGUAAACAAAUAAAAUAUGAUUUGAUCGAAGUAUUAACCAACUUCAAUUUAUAUCUAGGGAGAAAAACUUAGAGGUUUCUCUCACAACAAAAUUUCACUGAGAAAAUUCCAACGCUACAACUUCAAAGUUAACCAUCUACAAUGUCUUACAAUGUCCUAUUUAGUCAUCAUUUUAUUAUAAUUUACAAAGCAAGAGGCAUACCCAUACUCAAUAGAAAUAUACAAUGUUUUGAAUGCCUUUUAACAUGUCUUUGAAGUUUUUCUUUUUUAUUCAUGUCAUUAAAAAUUUGCAAAAAUCAUUUUUUUAGAAAUUUAUUUUAGUAUAAAUAAAGGUGUCAAAUUAUUCGUACUCCAUGACUAGUCAUAACUCCUGGAUAAACUCUUAUUUAUAGGACCACCAAAUGAGUGAGAAAAACUCUAAGUCCAAAAACCUCUUUUUGAAGUGGGUUGGGAUUAAGGUAAAACAAAAAGUUCUAACUCCCAAAGUCCAUCCAAGGUUAAAGGUUGAGUCGAGUCGUUUCAACUUGAAGGUCAAUAUGAGUUUUUCUGAACCGAAGCUCUAGUCAAGUCGACCUAAACCAAAGCUCGACCCAAGUUGGCUUAAGCCAAACUUCAAGUUGAGUCGGGUUAGACGAAAGUCGAGUUGUGUCGACCAAGCCAAAGGUUGAGAUGAGUCUGCCAAAUCAAAGGUCGACAAGAUGGCUAGGACCAAAGGUCAUGACGGUUCAUUCCAAACCAAAAUUCAAGAUACGCCAACCCGAUAAAAGAUAGAGACAAGCUAAUCACAAUCAAAAUUCAAGACGGUUCAAAAUGAGUCGAAUAUCAAGACAACCGAAGGUAAAGACAAGUUGGUACAUGCUAGAGGUUGAGAUGAAUCGACACAGGCUGAUGGUUGAACAAAUUACCCAGGUCAAUGGUCGAGAUAGGCUAGCUUAGGAUGAAAAUCGAAAUGAGCCCACCCAAAUAAAAACUCAAGAUGGGCUAACUCUUGACCUUUUUCCUAGGCUGAACAUCGACACAAGCGAGCCCAAGUAAAAGGUCAAGACAGAUAGGUUUGUGCCGAAGGUCAAAAGGGGCGUGCUCGAGAAGAUCAAUACAAACAGCCCAACCAAAGGUCAAGAUGUGCCGACUAAGUUGAAGGUCGUGACGGGCCAGUCAAGGCGAAGUUGAUUCGACAAGCAUGGGCCAAUGUCAAGGAAAACCAACCUAGGUUGAAGUUCGUGACAAGUAGUAUGAACCUAAGGUCAAUGAAAGACGACCUAGGCUAAAGGUUGAGAUAGAGUAGUCAUAGUUGAAGGUUGAGACAUACUGGUCUUUGGGGCAACAACGAGGUGGGCGGAGAUGAGUUUCACUUUCCUAUACCAAUCUCUAAAGAAAAAAUUCAUCCAUAUACCCAAAUUCAACCGGUAUGAAAUUUUUGUCUCAUUCCCAUCUCCACUGAGUAACAAAUAUACACCCGUACCCAUGCUUAUUUUCUUAAUGUUUCAAUAUUAAUUAAUUAAUUUUUAUAAAAUAAUAAAAACUUCUUGCAAUGCAAAUUUAAUAUUAUCAAAUUAUCAAUAAAAAAAAAUGUGUUGUAGUUUUUUCAAUAUCAAAUAUUUAGAAUGAAAUUAUAAUUAUAAUUGUAUACAUUUUAAAUUAAAGUACAAAAUAACAUUUCAUAAGACCAAAACAUUUAUUAAAUUUGCAAAGUUAAUGAAACAAGGUUGAUAAAAUUUAAAAAUUGUAAAGACCUAGAAAAUGGAGUAUUAGAACUGAUAGGUGUUUUAUAAUAAUGAGACCGAGUAUUUUUAAUGUUAAAAUAAUUCAAUAAUAUAAAUAGAAUUUCAUAAAUACGUCUCAUUGUCUAAAACACUCACCAUCUUUGUAAAACUCAUUCUCUGAGUUCUUCCUUCCUUCUCUUUAAGAAUUCUAACUCUUGAGACAUUUGUCUGAAAAUCAGGAAGUGCCUAGGAGAUCACGACAGUGAGUUCUCCAAUUUCAACCUAUCAUUCUUCCCUAUAGAGUAAGUCAAUUUAUGUUCCUUUUCUUUAGUUUUCGGUUUAAGACACAUGCAAAGAGGAUCCCUCGCAUGUGCCAUUCAAUCUCUCUUGUUAGUUCUUUGUCAACUAGUGGUCCUAAGGGCCUACUUUGAUCAUGAUUUUGUGGUUUGUAGGCAUAAUUUAGAGUUAUCUGAGCUGAGACAAGAGUAAUGUGCUCUGUAGAGUUGUUGUAGCCUUCCAACUAGGUAACGAAAGCUAAUUUUUUUGUUUAUAAAAUUGUAGAAACUAAUAGUCUGUUUUGAAGUUUUUUAUGGUAUUGAAAUUGAAUUGAUUUGGUUCUUAAGUAUAUGGUUUGAUGAAAUAUGAAUAUAUGACACCAUGUGUGAAAUGGAAAUUGGGUAAAAUGCAUAUUAUUGGUGAUUUAAGGUUGUUGUUGAUAAUAUUUGUAGUAUGUGACUAGUUUAUAAUUAAUUGAUGCAGAGUUUUAAAGUUGUAUUGUGUAGAAAACUGAUGUGGUAUGGACUGUGGAGAAAGAAGGAUGUUUUGGGAUUGGUUUUGAUAAAUUUUGGGGUUUUGAUAGAGAGGUUUUAGAGAAUUGACUUUUGAGUUAGAACUGAUGAUUGGGAGCUGACUUUUGGUCAAUUGAAACUUGUAUAGGGUUUUAGUUAACUAAAAAGAUGAUGUUGAAUUAGAGAAGUAGCAUUUUGAGUAGAGUUAUAGGUCAUUUAUGUGUUAAAAAGGGGUUUUGGUAGGCAAGAUUUUGAAGGAGUUAUUGGAUAGGGAAAACAGAGGUUUGAGGCCAGUUUUAGGUCACUUAGAACUUACUUAGAUAAUUAGUUUGGUCAAAAUGUUCUUAGGAAUGACAAAGUUAAAUUGUGAGAGUUGAAGUGAUGUUUUGGUGUAUAGGACUUGAAUUUCAUGACCAAAUGAGUAUGGUUUUGUUUAAGUUGUGUCAUAAACAAGUUGGUGAAUGUCAUUUAAGUUUAAAAUGUCAAAAUUGGAUCCAUGAAUUUUGGGAUUUAUGUUCAAGUUAGAAAAUUUAAGUUUGGUAGAUUUAAAUUAUGCAUAAUUGUUAUUCUGCAUAAUUCUACAGUCUAGUUGAGCAAAUAUAGGCAUUGAGCAAGUAGAACCAUAUCUAGCUUAAUGUGUAUAGGCGCUGAGCGAGAAGAAUCCAUUGUUUCUGUAUUCGAAGUGGAUGAGCGAGAUUCCUUGCUGAGUGAGAAAGAUUUCUUUUAGGGCGUUGAACGACCUAUUCAGAUCUUUUGAGUCUUUCUUUCUUUUGCUUUCUUGUAAAUUUGAACCAUAUUAGGGCUUUGAGGAUUGUGUAAAAGUAUAUAUUGAAUUAUAUGAUGAUUUAUUCUUGAGGUUAUGUAUGUAUUUGAAGUAUGGUUUGAAAAGAGUUUCUAAGGUGAAAUUCUUGAUUAGUUGUUUCAUACUUGUAUCCGGAUGGUCAGGUCUAGGUUCAUGGUAUGCUCAGGAUGUUUGUUUAACUUUGUAUGAAAUGUAAUAUAUGAUGAAUCUUAAUAUAUUAUGUUUAUUUCUUUUUAACAUUAGCUUACCCUUUGAGUAUUUCUUUGUUUGGUUGUUUAUGUAUGUUUGAUUUCUUUUUGCAAUGAUCACCUGGUUGGUGUGAGCAGAUAGAUAUGACUUGUCAGUGGAGCAAGCUUUGGGAGGAGAUGCAAUAGACGGAUAGUGAUGAGUAUAGGAGUUUAGUUUAUCUAAUUAUAUUUUGAAAGACCUUGUGUAAGUAGUUCUUUUGUUUUUUCUUUUGUGUUGUAUAUAAAGGUAGACUUAUAAUUAUUUUGGAUAACUAUAUGGAUAUCUUUUAUAUAUAUAUAUAUAUAUAUAUAUAUAUAUAUAUAUAUAUAUAUAUAUAUAUAUAUAUAUAUAUAUAUAUAUAUAUUCCUUAAGUUAAAUUGUUCUAUUGUAUUGAUCUUGUGAUAGUUUCUUAACAGUGUUUAUAUUAUUUUAAUGGGAUGUUACAUUUAUCUUUUUUAAAAAUUACAAAAACAAAUAAUCAAAUUUAAAAAUAUUUUAAAUGUCUCCCUACUCUCACAUUUUAAAUUCUAAUGAAAUGUUUUUUUCUAUAUACUAAUAAAAAUUAUGAUAUACUACUUGAAUCAAAUUAUACAAAAAAAAAUUAAACUAAUAAUAAUUAAAAUUUAACAUAGAUUUUUCAUACUUUGGACUUUGAUAUAUGUCGGAUUUUGAUAAAGAAAAUUCACGACAAUGAUACUAAAUUAUUAUAUAUAAUAAAUGAAUUUUUUUUAUACAAUUAUAGUGGUAGAAUUAGACUUAUGAUAAUGAGUUAGAAAAUAAAAAAUAAUUAUAUAAAAAACAUCAAAACAAUAUUUUAUAUGAUAAAAAUAAAAACAAAUAAAAGUAUUAAAAAGAAGUCAAAUGUGUAUCUUAGAAACAAUUUGAUUUACCAUUGAAUGAAAUUGUACAAAGAAAAACACAUGUAUAAUUAAGAGUAUGAUAAAAUGAAAAUAUCUUAAAGAUCUAUAAAAACAUUUUAGAUAUUAAACAAGUCUGAGUUAGUGAGAGAUCAUGAAAAUUGUUUUAACAAAACAAAAAGAGGUCUUUAAAUGAAACAAACAUUAAGAAUAAGAAAAUAAAGAAGAUAAAUUUUUUAUAUUACUUAGUAAAUACACAAUAAAUAAAAAUAUUAAAAAAGAGUAAAAAUAUUCAAAUAUAAGACAUAAAAAAUAUUUAAUUUACAUACUUCCUUUGAACAUAACUACAUAAAAGUUCUAAUAAGAGAUAAAGUAUCUUGAAAAUGUGAAUUGAUUUCAUGGUAAAUCAAACAAUUAAAAAAGAGAAAAAAAGUAUAUAAUUAAAAAACGAGAAUGAUUGUAUACUAAAUACUAAAUAUUAUAUAUAUAGUAUUUUAGUAAUUAAUUUAAUAGGAAACGAGGAUAAGGGUGGGAAUGGGUAUUAGGGUGGGUAUGAGGAUGAGAACAGGACAAAUAUCCACAUACUCAUGCCCAUCCCCCAUACCAAAUUGAAAAAUAUUGGGUGUUACUCAUUCCUAAUCAAUGUAGGGAUUUCCCAUCAAAAUAGGAACGAGUUUAUUUGUCAUAUCUAACUAGUCUUGGGUGAAGGUUAAGAUAGGCCAACCCUAAUCGAAGGCUGAGCUCGGUUUGCUCGGGCCCAAGCUCAUGAUGGGUUGGCCUAGGCUGAAGGUUAAGACAGGUUGAAUAUCGAGACAGAUCGACCUGAGAGAGCCAAAUGUCAAGAUAGGCCAACCUAAGCAUAAUGUUGUGACCUGUCGGCUUGGGUUGAAGGCCUUGAAGAAUUGCCCUAGACCGAAGAUCGUGACUAGUUAACACGAGUCAUAGGUUGAGAUGGUCAAUCUGGACUAAAGGUCAAGAAGAUUUAGUCAAAGAUGGGGUUGUGACUAGACAUGUCAAAAGGAGUCGGAACCUAUAAGCUAACCUGACUCACCACGUGUUUGAGCUGGGUCAGGUUUGAAAGUUAAAGUUUUUUCCGAUUAUGGAUCAAAAAGGGUUGAACUCACUUAACCCAUGGGUUAUUUGAGUUUGAGUCGGGUUAUAAUGAGCUUAACAACAACCCACCUGUACUUUUUUUUUUUUAAAAAAAAAUUGCUUCAUCUUCUAAGAUCAAUCAAACCUUAACUUGAAAUUAAGUUCCCUUUGCUUCGUCUACAUCUCACGCAUUCUCUCUGCUUCGUCCACACCACACACAACUUCAUCCCUACCAUUCGUGUUCGUCCUUGCAACCAUUCAUGUUUGUCGUAACUCCUUUGUGUUUUAGCUACUCCACGUUGCAAUCCCUUUGCGUCGCAACCCUUUCAUGACAUAACUCCUCCGCAUUGUUAUUCCUCAUUGCAAAUUUGAAAAAUUAAAAACUGAAAAACAAAAUAUAUGGGUUAGUGAACCAACCUACUUAAUCCAUCAACCUGUGAUAGGUCGAGCCGGGUUGUAAAAUUUCUAACUCACCAUAAAGUGAGUCGGGUUGGACUCACUUAUUUUUAGCCCAACUCGUGGUGAGCCAACUUGUAUGAGUUGGGGUGACUCACUUUGAUAUCCCUAGUCGUGAUGUACUGACUUGUGUCGAAGGUCAAAAUAAACUGAUUCAUACCGAAAGUUAAGACAACCUACCUUGAUCGAAGAUCAUGAUAAAUCUUCUUGAUCCGAAAAUCCUGACUGGCCUUCCCAAAUCGAAUUGGGAGCUUGAUUUGACAUAGUAUUGACUCCAUGCAUAGAGUACGAAGUACAGAUGAAAAUGUCAUACGAAAAAAAGAAAAUUUUGGAUAUUUUAUAUUUUAAAUAUUUUAUAUUUUAAAUAUAUUUAAAAGUAUAUUAUCUUACUUAAUUAUAAUGUGCUUAAAAAAAUUUAAAAUUUAAAUUUCUUUUUUCAGUUUCUUUAUCAUGAUGGUCGAAUUUUACAUAAGAAAAAUUUAAAUUCUUUAAAUAAAUAAAUUAUUAUUUUAAAUUAACCUUCAUCUACACAUUAACGUAGUUUUCUUAAUUACUUUAAUUAUAUAAGCAAUUAAGAUUUAUUAAUUCCUAUUUUCGCUCAAAAUAUAUUUAGACACGUGAAUAUUAUUUGAAGGAUAAAAUAAAUUUUAACCUUUUUUUUAAAUUCUUAAAAUAGUGUCCAAAAUUGUAUUAUUUUUAUCUCUCAAAACUUAAACAUAACUUUUGGAUUUGUCUAAAAUUUAAACAUAUUUUUAUUUUUUUAUAUCUUUAAUACUAAUAAUGGAGGAAAAACUAAUGCAUAUAUAUAAUAGUUUUAACAUGAUAUUAAAUAUCACUUUUAAUUACGAACUCACAUCUUCAAGUAAAAAAAAUCAUCAUAUGCAUCAAUUUUAAUCCAUCCUAUUACUAACAAAUUGUUACAAAAUAUUUUUAAUUAUCAAAAUACCAAAGUAACACCAAAUCCUUUUAGAAACAUAUUUAUUAUAUGCAAAUAUUUUAAAGGACCAAGAAAUAUUUUACCCUCAUUUUGAAAGAUAAUUAUUUCUUGUGUCUUAAAAUAAAAAGCAUAAAAUUAUAUUUUAAAGGUUAAGUUGCUAAACUUGGAAGAUGAAGAAGAAAACUAAACCCCUUAAAAGGAAGGGAUACAAAACUAGAGAAGUGUGAUAUAUUGAUUACAAAAGGGAACAAAAGGACAAAACAAAUAGAGAAACACAAAAAUACAAAUUUGAAUGUUAGGGUAGGGAGGUGGUGGUGAUGGUGCAGUGAAAGUGGGGUCAAGGUCGGUGAAAGCCAAACCGAAACCAAAAAGUUUAUUGCUUUUAUUAUUUGGCUUUGUUUUGCAGUGAAAAAUGUCACUGAUCAAGUGCUCUAACGUCACUCCAUCACCUCAAUAUAUACCCCUUCUCAUCUCACACUAAUCAAACACAACCUUGUUUCUUGUUCUGUGAGCCUCUCUUUCAGUUUUCUCUUUUCUUGAUCAUUGUCAAAAGGGUGGUUGCAGAUUGCAAUGGCUAAGCAUGAUGUUGAGGGUGGUUCCUUCUCUGCAAAGGACUACCAUGACCCUCCUCCAGCACCCUUGAUUGAUGGUGAGGAACUCACACAGUGGUCCUUCUACAGGGCCUUGAUUGCUGAGUUCAUUGCCACACUUCUCUUCCUUUACAUCACAGUGCUCACUGUUAUUGGUUACAAGAGCCAGAGUGAUGUAAACGCUGGGGGUGAUCUCUGUGGUGGGGUUGGCAUUCUUGGCAUUGCUUGGGCCUUUGGUGGCAUGAUCUUCAUCCUUGUUUACUGCACUGCUGGAAUCUCAGGUCUUUCUUCACUCUUCAAUCUCAUACCCAUCUUUUUAAUUUCCUUGCAUGGACUUUAGUCUAACAUAAUGCUUUGGUUUCCUUUUCAUUUUCUGGUUUCCUAGCAUCCAAAGUGGAAAAGCUGCUAUCUUUGAGCUCUAGUUCUAGGUCGUAAACUGUGGUUACUUGGUCGCACUUAGUUGCAAUUCUUGAUAUUCUGGGAAAUUACAAACAUUCUUAACAUUGUGGCCAAAAUCACAGUUGGGUACUGCUUUGUUUUGAAAAAAAUAGAAGAAAAACUUGCUUUAAACAUACCCCCAUUAAGCCAAAUAGCCAGUAUGUUUUGGCUUUGAGUGCUUAUCAAAUCUUCUUUCUUGUUUGCUAAUUCCCUUCUAUCAAGUUUGUUAGCCUUCAAAUUGGGAUGCUGGUGCUUUUGUGGGGGUGAAAGUAAAUAACUAAGCAUGAUUUGGUACCAAGUUUUGUUACUUAAUAUUCUGAAAAGUGUGAUUUUGUAUUGAAUGUAGGGGGUCACAUAAACCCAGCAGUGACUUUUGGACUGUUCUUGGCUCGGAAGGUGUCUUUGAUAAGGGCUAUAAUGUACAUGGUGGCUCAGUGUUUGGGGGCCAUAUGUGGAGUUGGGUUGGUGAAGGCCUUCCAAAAGGCUUACUACCACAGGUAUGGUGGUGGGGCCAAUGAGUUGAGUGAAGGGUACAGCACAGGUGUUGGAUUGGGUGCAGAGAUCAUUGGAACAUUCGUUUUGGUGUACACUGUCUUCUCUGCUACAGACCCCAAGAGGAAUGCUAGAGAUUCUCAUGUCCCGGUAUGUCUUCAAUUGUUAUUGCACUGUAGUUUUGUUUAUGCUUCUAUGCCCCCAUUUCGAAAAAUACAUUUUUUGUUACAUUAACCGUAGAUAGAGAAAAUUGUUGUUUGCAUGAGUUGUGCUGAAAGCAAUGAUUAAAUGGUACAGUGCAUACUAAGAUCAUAACAUAUAGUCAUAGUCAUACACAGUGCUUUUAAGCAAGCAUGGAUUCACUCUUAGUUCUUUCUGGUUUUAAAUAGAAGCUCAAAGUUUCCUGAAAUUACUUUGGACUGGUUGUUGGUAAGAAAAAGUGGAGGGGAAUUGGUUUUGUUAUUAUUAGAUAUCCGAACUUCAAGCAUCUAGCUAUGCUUUCUAAGUGAAACUAGGUAGAGUGGUAUUUAAGAAAUUAAGAAAAUUAGUUGUAGUUCUUGAAAUGGUUACCAAGAUGGGUAUUCCUGAUUCAGUGAACUUAACAAUUAGUAAAAAAUAGUCCACUCCAUUUUUGAGCAGUUGUACCUGCUGCCACUCAACAAUUUCCCAUUUGAAAUGAUGCAGUUUACAGUCUAUGCUAUCCAUUUGCAUAAAAAGUUUUGGCACAGUCAAAACUUAUGUUUACUAUUACUUUUACUAUCAUUAAUAGUUAUAGAAAGCUUUAUAUUUAAUAUUCUUGAAACAGUUAAAUAUGUUAGCCAGUUGGAUUUCCUUUUCAUUUUGGAAUCUAAAUAUCCUUAUUCUGGCUUCUUUCUCUAGAGUCUUAUUCCGUAAUAAAUAUUGCACUGGCAGCAUUCAAUUCAGAUGAAAAUUUCCACUUUUCUUGCAUUGCUUGGCUUUCCUUUAUUACUAGUUCUUGUCCUCAGAACAAGAAAGUGGGAAUUCUUUUCCUGCGGGCAUAUUUCUUGACUUAAAGGUUACAUUUUUAUUCAUCUAAGCAUCCUAGAGUGGUGAACCUAUCCCUUCCUUUCUCCAAAAUUUCCAAAUGCAUGAUGUUUUUCUGUUGAAGUGAAAUGCUAGCAUUUCUUUACAAAUAUGGGUCCAUUUGGCCAUUACCAUAUAUGAUUCUGUGGAGCAAUUUGAUUUUCACAGCCUUGUCACACGAAUCUUAUCUGUUUUCUUUCUUCUUUUGGGAAAAGUGGAUUCUUUCAGGACUUUCCUUUUGUAUUUUUUUUUCCCUCAGAAGCAAAUCUGUCUUUGUUGAUGUGGAAAUUUAAGGCCAACAAUUAAAGUGUUCUGAACAGUGUCAUUCAUGCUAAAUGCCAUUUUCCCAAGCUGGCAAAUCUCGUGAGAGUUUCCAGCAUCAUCCUCAUUUGUCAUUAUCAGCUUUAGGUUCCUCCUUACAGUUUCUCAGAUUCUUCAAAUCAAUAACAAAGGAAACCAUGCUCCUCACAUGGGGCAUGUCCCAUCUGUCCCAAGUGUUUAUCGGUUUCCAUUUCCAUUUUUUUGCCUAUUUUAUUAACAAGUUUUAGAGAAGGGUCUACGACCACAAUUUUAUGUGCAACAUUAAUUAGAAUUUUUUAGUCUCUCAGACCAUAGUUGCUACUGCAGCUGCCACAUUUAUCCACAAUUUCCUAUAACACCAAAGAUUGCAAUAAUCUUUAUAAUUAAUUUGGAUUCAUAUGUUUGGCACAACUUGUUUCGUUUUUUUUUGUUUUAAUUGAACCAAAUGAAUUUCUUAUGGUGCUUUUGUUCUGCAUUUGAAGGUUUUGGCUCCACUUCCAAUUGGUUUUGCUGUGUUCAUGGUCCACUUGGCAACCAUCCCUGUAACUGGCACUGGUAUUAACCCUGCUAGAAGUUUUGGAGCUGCUGUCAUAUACAACAAAGAGAAGGCCUGGGAUGACCAUGUCAGUAACUGUUUUUUUACAUAUCAAGAACUUGCUAGUUUUAUACUAUAUGAUUAAAUAUUAAAAUUUGUAACUUGUCUUGUGAAGUAACAAAGGAUAAAAAAUUGGUGCCACUAUUGUCUGAUAUAAUCUUGUUCCUGAUGUUUGUUCAGUGGAUCUUCUGGGUUGGACCAUUCAUUGGAGCAGCCAUUGCAGCCUUCUACCACCAAUUCAUCUUGAGAGCAGGUGCUGCUAAGGCUCUUGGAUCAUUCAGGAGCAACCCCACCAUUUGAGUUAUUACCAA
rnacentral:lncRNA from 1 species